UUUUUUUUUUUUUUGGAAGCAGUUUGUCACCGAUGCUUGAGUACGGUAGACCAAUCAUAGCUCACUACAGUCUAGACCUCCUGAGCUCAAGUGAUACUCGCACCCCAGACUGAGAUUAUAGGCAUGAGCCACCAUGCCUGGCCUAACUUGUCAGUUUCUAAAACCAUUCUUUCUAUUUGUGAUACAUCUUUCAAAUCUAUUUCCUCUGUUCUAUUUCCAGUGACAGUUUGGUCCUUAUCAUCAAUCACUUGGACUACUACAAAAAAACCCCAGUUGGCUGCCCUGGCUAUGCUGUUUUCUUAUUGAUCAUUUAUCCUCAAACUCUUGUCAGUCACCCAGUAUCCUCUUGAGACACAAAUUUUAAUGUGCAUUAGAAUCACCUGGGUUCUUGUCAAAUUGCAGAUUUUGAUUUAGCAGAUCUGAUGACUCUGCAUUUCUGACAAGUUUCACAUGAAUUCCAUGCAGUUGGUCUAUUGACCACAUUCUGUGUAGCAAUGAUUUAGAUCAUUAUUGCUUCUAAGCUUCUCAUCUUUAGAGUAUUGUUAAAUGCUGAUUAGAGAAUAUCUCCAGUAUUUCCAAUAUAUUCUAGCCAUAUCUCUUUCCACUUUUUCUCUCCAAUCGCCCUCCUUUAUGCCCUCAUCAUUAUGCUAAUCAUUCUCCUAAUUAACAAUGAAUUUAUUUGUAAUAAAUAAAAGUUUGCAAACCCCUCUUCCCUGCCAUCUUGCCCCAUAGCCAGACUCUGAGAGAUCCAAUUUCUCCUCCUGAUUUGGUGACAAAUUAAUAUUUGCAAAAAUGAGAAGUUCCUUGGAUUAAACCGUAUUUUAUAGAUGCUCAUUCACUGUUUUUACACAUAUUGUGGAAGAUGUGAUUUAUUUAUAGCUUGUUACUAUAAGAUCAUUUUAAGCUCAAAGUUUAGCAGAGUGUUCUGAGAAUGUUCCCUCUUUGUUUUGGCUGGAUGCUAGUUAGCAUAAAUUUCAGUUUAUGAUAAUUAUAAUUAAGCCUUGAGCUGUUUCUUCUAUUUAUUGCUCUCCAGUGCAGGUCAACAGGGCAGAGGGUGGUCUGUGGCCCAUUAGUGCUUUUGCAGCCAUUACCAUCCGUCUGGCAAGACAGGGUCAUCGGCUGGAUUAUGGUCAUCUCUACAGUGAGCGAUUUGACAAUUCUAGUUUUCUUGAGGGUGCACAUAUUUGGGCAACAAAAUACUUUAAGUAAGGAAACUAGCACAAUGGACUGAGGUCAAAGAAGCUGAAAAGAAAGCUUAUACUGAGAGACUGAAUCUAAGAGAUGUUCAGAACUCAGGGGACUGUGGAGGAAUUCCAUCUGCUCUGGGAUUCCAUCCUCCUGCACACACAUACAGUAAAAAAGCAGUGUGUGGUUACGUUUCAAAGGUGCACUUGACUGGGCAUUACAAGCCUGGAUCUCCUUGUUCUGAAUCCUACUAGUUUUGUGAACUUGAGCAAAUCCCCAGAUAUCUAUGAAACCUCAUUUCCUCAUAUGUGAAACGGAGGUUAUAUUUGCCUUACUUGCCUACCUGGGGUGUUGAGAAGGCCAAAUGAGACAAUGACAAUCAUAACAGCAACCAUUGCCACUAUUCCUUAUCUCAUAGAAUUACUUUUUUUUAUUAUAAAAGCCACUAGAAAUCGAGUAGCUGAUAUGUACCAGUCAUCACUGUUGGGGCAACAUAUGUAAUAAGUAAUUCCUGCUGCCUCUCUCCUGAGUCCUUUCACCUUUGAGAAAUAAACACAAUGGUCUCUGAUAUCAGUUUUAUCACAGACAAAGCCGGAGGAAGAAAGCAUCUUGGAUUUGAGGCCCAUGUGGGAUUCCUUCUCUUUCUCUCCUAAAUAGAACAUACCUACUUCCCAAAGCCGAGAGGCUAGACAAGCAACAGCAAGCCAUCUGGUCACCUGAGCCCAACCUGGUCCCCAGCAGGGGUAGGGCCCAUCCCAGGCUGGAUCCAAAGUACAGCCAGGCCUCAGUGUGUAGUCACCUUUUCCUGGGAAGCUAGGACUGACUGUCAGGAAGACUGAGAACCAGCUCUCCUAUACUUCUGAAAGGGGAAUUUUUUUAUGGGGAAUAACAGGCAUCUAAAAAGAGGGAAAAAUCUUUUAUUCCACGUAUACAUUAUUCAGUUUAAUCUCUGCAACUGUUCUUUGAUAUACAUAUUAUUUUCCCAAUGAGAAAUACAAGGCUUAACAUGUUUGAGAAACUUGCUCAAGUUCUUUCAGCUAGUAUGUAGAUGAAAAUGGGUGGCACAUUCGCAACUCUUCAGCGAUAAUGAAACAUUUGAGGUCUGGGGUUUUAUCAGGAAAAAUAUUUGCCAAUGAUGGGACUGGUUCAUAAGGAGUAGGUUCAAAAGGAGAAUGCUGAUAGAAGAUGUUCUAAGUGGGGCUCAAAGAAGGUGAGAAAAGCUUGACCUGAACUUCAGGAAGUAAAAAGUUACUGAAAGCUGGGAGGUCUGAGUUUGAGAAUGAGGCUGCAGGAGAAAAUCUGCACCAGGCUAACAAAGAGAACCUUUCCUGACAGUACUAGGAACCCGAUUGUCUACCUAAAUCACUGAUUGAACAAAAGAGGGUGGUUGACCUGAACUUCAGGAAGUAAAAACAUUACAGAAAGCGUGGAGGUCUGAGUUUGAGAAUGAGGCUGCAGGAUAAAAAUGUGCCAGGAUAACAAAGAGGACCUUCCUAAUAGUACUAGGAACCCAAUCGUCUACUUAAACUGAUGGAGCAAAAGAGGGUGGGAGGGGAACAAGCAUAGACAACCAUUUUCUCAGCCACAUUUGCUUGCCUGAUGAGACCAAGCUCUCUCUAGUGUUUCCCUAAAGUGGAAGCUGUUUCCAGGAGGUGGUCUGCACACAGCAUUUCUAGGCAGGAGGUUAAAAGCUCUAAUAUAAGAUGCAUACUUAAUGUGAUUUUCUGCUUCAUUCUCCUUUAAAGAUAAACUGGGGAAGCUAAAGUGUCAAUGUUUGUAGCUUCAUUCUCUGUUGUAAUUGGAUGAUAUUGCUUGCAUUUGAAAUGGGAGCCAAGCGAAGUGAAACUAAAAACUUCUUAAAUGGCGCUUUGAUUCUUCAGGGGAGGAGAGACACAGAGACUGAUGAGUUAUUUGGACCUUCCUAGGAAAAACCCCUGAUGUCGUCAAGCCCUCCACGUUUAUUUACUUAAAAACAAGCUUCUCAUUCCUGAGCUUCAAAAAUGAUCCUGCAUGUUAUUGACAAAUAAUAAUUUAAUGGACAGCCUGAUUAGAUGGCCACAAUGAAUUAGCUAUCGGUCUGACAGCCGUGCAAGCAUUAUGUUCUGUAUCUGUUUACUCAGCACUAGGUGAAAUACAGAAGUCUAUUGAAAAUCAGAUUUCCAUGCUGCUUUGUCAAAGCAAAUUUAAUCACAGCCAGAACAUGUGGCAUCCAUCAUUUCCACUUCAGGAGACAUCAACGGGGGCAGAUCAGCAACAAGGAGCCGGGCUGCCAUGGCUGUCCUCCACUCACAUGAAAAUUAAAUUUAACUAUAGAUCCUUGAUAAAUGAGGCCGCUGAAGCCAUCAAACAUGUGAUGACUAAGUGCUCAGUAUUAAAGUCAUCCCCAGAGGCCCCAAACUGGAAAGAAGCACAGUCUCAUUUGAUCCGGCCUUGAGGUCUUUGCAGGCAUUCACACCUCUGCUGUAGACAGAUAAAUAUGGGCUUUAGCAUUCUGCCUCAGGGGUCCAGAGAUUAUUUUUUCUGGAACUCUUUACUUGGUCUUUGCUUUUCCAGAAGUUUCUAUGAGAGCUGUCGUAGCCACUUGCCCUAUCUAUCCUAUCCUUACACAUGCCUUUCCUUUCUUAUCAUUGUUUCCCACCAUCAGUCAUUGCUUCUCCAGCCCCCAAAUGACUCUUGUAUCUCAGCUGUUUUUUUUUUAAAUUUUGUUUUGUACUUUAGGUUCUGGGGUACAUGCGCAGAUCAUGCAGGAUUGUUGCAUAGGUACAUACAUGGCAAGGUAAUUUGCUGCCUCCAUCCCAUUGCCCCCACCACCUAUAUCUGACAUUUCUCCCCAUGUUAACUCUCCCCAACCUUCCCACCCUCCACUGUCCCUCUCCUAGCAUCCCCUCAACAGACCCCAGUGUGUGAUGCUCCCCUCCCUGUGUCCAUGUAUUCUCAAAUGUUUCUUCUUUAGCAUCAAACAUUAUUCCUUCCUAGGACUCCAAGUUAGGGGAAGUAAGACCACAGACACAGUUUUGUGGACUGCCAAGACCAUGAGCUGUUUCAGGGCAGGGACAAUUUUACUGAUUUAUUUUUUAGCACUAGAGCCUACAGCACAUGACACAUAGGCUGGGCUGGAUUCCUGUAUGUUAAAGGAAUGGGUGAGCAAAUGAAUUCUCAUGGAACUCACUGGAAUGCUCUUCCUCAUGUAAUACAGGUGUAGAUACUGGCUCUAUUAUUAAAUAUCUCCAGGAUAAUGAUGUAUACCUACUUUUUUGAAAUCCAGUUUUGAUGACUAGCUAAUCAAACUGACCUUUAUAUGUCUCAGUUUUAAAUGGUGCAUUUAAUCAUAUCUGUCCCAUGUGGUUGUUAGGGGUCCAGAUGCGUAAUUUAUUAAUACUGGUUAGCACAGGGCCUCCAUACGUGAAGAAUCAACAUACUUCAUCAUUGUCAUCAUCAUCACCAUUGUGGUUGUCACUAUUUACCCGCUCUUUGCUCAGCACCAGUCUUGGUGUUGCCUCAGAAGACAAGGAAAAAGCCACACAUACAGGAACAAUAUAUAAGAAGAGGCCAGGUGCAGUGGCUCACACCUGUAAUCCAGCACUUUGGGAGGCUGAGGCGGGUGGAUCUCCUGAGGUCAGGAGUUUGAGAACAGCCUGGCCAACAUGAUGAAACCUUGUCUCUACUAAAAAUUCAAAAAUUAGCUGGGCAUGGUGGUGUGUACCUGUAGUCCCAGCUACUUGGGGAGGCCGAGGCAGGAGAAUCACUUGAAUCCAGGAGUCAGAGUUUGCAGUGAACAGAGAUCAUGCCACUGCACUUCAGCUUGGGUGACAGAGCAUUUAAAAAAAAAAAAAAGAAGAAGAAUGCGGAACAGACUGUGAAAGCAUAGCAUUUCGAAGUAGGGCCUGCCCAGUUGUGAAAAACAGAAACCCGACUUAGUGGGAAGAUAUCUAGGCCUUAGAAGGCAAGUCACUGUAGGCAGAAAGUCCUGCAUAAUGUGAGAAAUGGAAGUUUGCCUUAGAGUGGGGUGGACACAUGGAUCCAGGAAUGGGACGUGAAGGAGAUUGGCCUAACUUCAGUAGAAGGUUUGAUUGGGGAUUAGUAAAAGAUUAAAUUCUAUAGGUAUGGGCAGAGGUAAAAGUCGGAGAAUCUUGAAAGUUAAGUAGGGCUUGAACUUUUGCUUGAUACAUAUGCAUGGAGAGCUGGUUCUUUAUCAGGGAAUCACAUAAAAAAGUGAAUAAUUAAUGUAAUUGGGAAUGGGAGGCUGGGAAAUGAGGUAACAGGUAGCAGAUGAGGGAAUAUGAGUAAGGGGCAAACAUAAUGCAUCUCCUAGAGGAAGAAUCAGUGGGUUUGGGUGACUCUUCUGUGUUCAUUGCCAGACAGUGAGAAGCGCACUGCUGUUGAGAGGCAAAGCUCCUUUCCUAACGCCAGCAAGAGGGAAAGGCAGGAUAAGGUCACCACCCUCCAAACUGAUUGAGUCGCCGGAAUAAUUUAAAGUGUUACUAAUUGAGAAUAACUCUACAGCCUGAGAGCACUGUGCACAGGGAGGUAUAUUUAUACCUCCUUCUUUUUCACUUCAUCAAAUGCCAAUUUAAAAACAUAUAGUCGAUAAUCAAGCACAUUUUAACUCCCCUGGAAAAAUUAUGGUGUGCACUUAAGUUUACCCCCAUGCUUAAAUUUUCAACGUGAGGCACUCAAAGGGAGUUUGGAGUGAGUACUGUGUACCUCCUUAGCAGAUUUACAUGAACAUUUUUUAAAGUUGUUAUAAAAAUUGCUAAAGCCUUUUCCUGGUAUCUCUUGGAAACACUUAGAAGUUUUGGCAGAAAUCGUUUUCUUUGGUCUAAUCACAUACUUCCGAAGGCAGUUUACAAAACAUGUUAUUUUGCUAUUUACUAAUUAUAUUUAUUUGAUACACCAACCACUUAAUAGCCUCUGGCUGCAUUUACAAAUAGUAUUGAAAAAGCUCCCGCUGUUAUACUUAUAAUUUAUUAUAGACAACAAAAAAUAAGAUGCUCUCUCUCUGCAUGCAUAACACACACAGGGAUGCUUAGAGAAAAACUCUGUACAGAUCCAGAAUGAUCAAAUAUAAAGGGCAGUUUUAGCUUGGAGGAUUCGUGUCUUUGUAGACAGCUGGAGACUGUGGCUCUUCUCUGUCUGUGAUUGGAGAGAGGAGAGGCAAAGUCGUGCCUGGGACACUGACUUUGGUGGGCCAAGAAAGGCGGAAAACUGUGCCUCCAAGGGACAGAUUGGUGCUUACCACCCUCUACCUUUUUUCAGGAUUAUCUGAAACAGCCAGGAAGAAUAUGGUCCUCAGGGAUCUCAAAGACCCUUUGAUGAGUAAUACUUUCUCCCGAGAUGUUUAUGCAAAAAUAGACUGUCUUAUGCAGAAACCAUCAAAGUUGUGUGGUUUCAGAAGUAUGCCAACAGCCUACAUUUUUGGGAGGGAGGAAAUCUUCCACCUACCUGUGCUGGUGGUCCUCCAUUUUAGCCUAUUCUCUUUUGAAUAGUCAUUCUUUAAGCAUGUAUCAGGCACCUGCCUUGUGACAGAUGUAAGAAUCCUCUGUGAAGUCCACACUGGUAGACUAAAGCACUUCUCUCUUGCUUCCUGAAUUAGUCUUUUUUUCACACUGCUGAUAAAGACAUACCCAAGGCUGGGUAAUUUAUAAAGAAAAAGAUGUUUAGUGGACUCACAGUUCAAUGUGGCUGGGGAGACCUCACAAUCAUGGCAGAAGGUGAAAGGCACAUCUUACAUGGCAGCUGGCAAGAGAGAAUGAGAACCAAGAGAAACAGGAAACUCCCCUUAUAAUAGCAUCAGAUUUUGUGAGACUUUACCAUGAAAACAGUAUGGGGGAAACCACUCCCAUGAUUCAGUUAUCUUCCACCUGUCCCUCGCACAACAUGUGGGAAUUAUGAAUGCUACUACAGUUCAAGAUGAGAUUUGGGUGUAGACACAGCCAAACCAUAUCACCUCCUAUACCUGAGGAAGAUUGAGGUUCAUAACAGAAAAGUGGUUUUCACUCCAAGUUGCAGUUAAUUCCAUGUUAAUCCCCAAUUAGGCAUUGAUUUCUCUGUGCUGCUUCUGCCCAUUCAAAUCAUUUAUUCUAUUUCUUAUAUGCAUUUUGUUUCUUUCCCUAAAGCUUGUAAUACUGUAAAUGUCUCUGAGAAUAGGGGACAUGUUUCAUGCAUCCUUAUAUAAUUAACUUACCUAAUGACUACAGGUAGAAUUCAAUGUUAAAUAUAAUAUGACAUUAAAAAAUAAUUUUAUCUUAGAUCAGUUAAUUUCAUUAAUAUGUCUCAAAGAACAAUGACACUAAUCAAUGAACCAAUGCUAGGAUGGAUAAAUUUUUGAUAAGUUGAGUGUCACGAGUGUCUGUUUUAUAUAUGAGACUGGGAGAGAGUCUGCCUCUGUUUGCAAAGGCAUAGGGUAAAAUAUAAAUUGAUCAUGGUGGGAGAUGCAGGUGGUCAGUGAUGGUUUCAAAGGGGAAAAAGGAUAUCAGAAGAAGUGGUCAUGAGAUAAAGUCACUCUUUGCUUCAGUAUCACAGUUCUGCCCAAUGCCUGGCAUAUCUUGAGGAUUAUGCAUCACAUGUUAUGAAUGCAAAUAAACCAGAGGCUGAUGCAACUGUGAUGCUUACACUGUGUACUUCCAAAUAGGAGGAAUCAAACACGAAUUAGAGCCUGAGUUUUAUUUAAAAUGUUAGCAAAGCAUUUUAAAGGAACUUCACUACACACAAUGUAAUUCAUGCAGAAAGAGGUGCUAUUUUAUUGUGCUAGUACCAUAUGUGAAUAAUUUAUGAAGUCCAAUCAUACUUAGUGAGAAUAAAUGAUGAUGGCCAUGCCUUUCUCUUACCUUAUAUAUUAAAGAUCUAGUGCAUUAUAAAUUUAUUAACAGUUUGAAAGAGGAAAAUAGUUUUGUUUUAAGAUAUUAUGACAUAUCUUAAUGAAACAUUUGAGCACAGGAAAAUUUAUUUAUUUGUUUUUGAGACAGAGUCUGGCUCUAACACCCAGAGUCUGGCUAGAGUGCAGUGGUAUGAUCUUGGCUCACUGCAACCUCCACCUCCUGAGUUCAGGUAAUUCUCAUGCCUCAGCCUCCUGAGUAGCUGGGAUUACAGGCCCAUGACACCAUACCCAGGUAAUUUUUGUAGAGAUGGGGUUUUACCAUGUUGUCCAGGCUAGUCUUGAACUCCUGGCCUCAAGUGAUCUGCCUGCCUCAGCCUCCCAAAGUAUGAGCCUCUGUGCCUGGCUGAGCAUGUGAAAAUCUAUUUCAGAAGUGUCUAUACCACAUAGAUAAUUCAAGACACAUUGGAAAAAGUCUUAUCUAAAAACAUUUGUCACUUUUGCUUUUUCAAUGGAGUAUAUACCAGUUCCACUCUUUUCUUGGUAAGGGUAGGUUACAAAAGACUUGGGUCAGAGAUGAUUCUGCAUCUCUAAUUGUCUAUCAAUCUUAUUUGAGCAGAUCCUUUGUUCUGUGUUUUUCACAUGACCUCAACGUUUUUCUUCUUCUCCAGUAUCUGUAUGGGUUGUGCUAUUAUCCAGGCGUAAGAGCGGGUUACUCUUCCAGGGUUUCUCGGGGAAGUAUUUUCAACUGAGCAUUAUCCAGUCCAUCUGGAAAAAAGUGGCCAACAGAGUAGAUGCUUUACACUUUGGCCAAACUGGUUAGAAAUAGGAACAUAGAGUAAACAGGGAAAAUAUAAAUAUACAAAACAGUUUCUGUCAGUUUAUGUCCUAUCCUAGCAUUCAUUGUUUCACUGGUAUUUUCUGCGAACUUUGCUGUAGCCCAGGGACUAAACAUUCUCCACAUGAGAAUCUACUUUAUUCCUUUAUGCUCAGAGUCUUCCCGAUGAGCGACAAGAGCCGAAUGUUGGGUAUAGGCCAUUGACAGGCCUGGGAGGUGGCUAGUGGCUGCUGGCUAAAACCACAUCAAUACAGAGAACUCUUUUUUUUUUUUGAGACAGAGUUUCACUCUUGUUACCCAGGCUGGAGUGCAAUGGCACAAUCUCGGCUCACUGCAACCUCCGCCUCCUGGGUUCGAGCAAUUCUCCUGCCUCAGCCUCCCAAGUAGCUGGGAUUACAGGCACGCACCACCAUGCCCAGCUAAUUUUUUUAUUUAUAGUAGAGACAGGGUUUCACCUUGUUGACCAGGAUGGUCUCUAUCUCUUGACCUCGUGAUCCACCCGCCUCGGCCUCCCAAAGUGCUGGGGUUCUCUUUUGUGGGGACACAAUAUUGAAAACUCACUUGGGGAUCACCAGAUAAAGUUUUGAACUUUUCCUGGAGGUUGGGUCUUGCUGCAUGGUGAGCACUGCUCUACACCCUACUACAUACCUAACUCUCUGGCACGUUCAGCCUGAUUGCAUUUCUGCCCAGGCACUUCCUAAUAAAUGUUUUAUAUUUAUUUCUUGUAAGCCACUUUCCAAGACAAAUUUCACCUUUCCCUGAAUGCCCAUUCUAAGUUUUUCACAGCACUCAGGUAUAAAACUUAAAAUGCCCAAAUUUUUAUCAUGAACUUGUGAAUUUAUACAUUUGUUGCUCUUUUUCUUGUUUAACUUGUCCCUUCACUUACAUUGGAUCCACUUUAUUGGCAAAAUUCUAAGCAUGUGAACAGCAGGAAACAUUUAGCAAUGUCUUCCAACCCUCCUCCCAUCUCCUCCAACUGUCCACUUCCCUCCCUAGGCAAAGGAGCCUUGAUCAGCCUUGUUUAGGUUUGGUUAAUGGACUCUUCGCUGAGGAUAAUGUCUUAACUUGCCAUUAAUGACUAACAUGCUCUUGUAACUUAAUGCCAGUUCUUUCACUUCACUCUGCAAACCAUUUUUGUUCUAAAAUAACUUUCAUAAAGGAAUCACUUCUCUUUGCUUAGCCUCAGACGUCUACAUUAGCCCUAGGCAUUCCUAUUUAUUUCUGGUUCUGAGGACCUUCUGGAAUUAGAUCUGACACAGAGUUCUCCACAGGGAGCUGGCAGCCGGCAGCACCAGGAUGGAUGAUGCAAUGAAAGAGUGUGGAGUAAGAGUGACCCUAGGAACAGAUUAAUCUCCAUCUACGCACAGAUCUGUGUCAGACUUAUUCCUGAGAGCUCUGAUAUAGAGAGCCCAAAAAAAAAUCUUAGAGCUGAGGAGGAUACUAGAGGCCAUUUGUUUUAUUUUAUUAUUAUUUAUUUAUUUAUUUUUCUGAGACAGCGUCUCACUCCCCCAGGUUGGAGUACAGUGGUGCCAUCUUGGCUCACUGCAACCCCUGCUUCCCAGGGUCAAGUGAUUCUCCUGCCUCAGAUUCCUGAGUAGCUAGGAUUACAGGCACCUGCCACCACACCUGGAUAAUUUUUUUGUAUUUUUAGUAGAGACGGGUUUUCACCAUGUUGGCCAGGCAGGUCUUGAACUCCUGACCUCAAGUGAUCUGCCUGCCUUGGUGUCCCAGAUUGCUGGGAUUACAGGUGUGAGACACUAUGCUCAGCCCCAUUUAGAUCAAGCCUGACGUUUUACCCAUGAGACUGAGGCCCAGAAAGAGGUGCCUUGCUGGAAUCAUACAGCUGCUUAAUACAAGAAAAAGCAGUAUUAGAACCCAGGUCUUCUGAUUCCUAAAAAUGUACAGGGAUUUGGGUAUUUAAGAGUUUCAGUUAUUCCUGCUAAUUUUAAGGCUUAACAUAUAAGGAUACCUGAGAGUUAACUAGCAAAAUUGAAAUGACUAUAAUAAAUUAACAAUGUAUAUAGUGCCCGGGAGCUAUGAUUACAGGUGGUGUAAAAAUGCAAAAUGUAAUGAGAAUGAUCACUUCACUGAGAAGCUUCUGAAAAUGGGGUGAUAUGAUGUCUGCCCAGGGCCAAAUGGGAGGUGCUUUCCCCAAUCAACUGAUACUCUGUGACUUCAUGGAAUAUAUAGGAAUGUUUGCCCAGUAUGCCAUGGCUUGCCAUUGUGAUGCCCCAAACAUAAAAUUAUCUUCAUCAUUGCCAAGUUAUUUGUAAGAGUCAUUUUCUUGGUAGGCUACAACUCAUUGUAUCAUUUGAUUAAGAAGCAGUUCCACAAUGUACCAGUUGCUUUUCUUAUGUCCAUUGAAAUAGAACAGUAUGGGAGUAAAGUUUAACGUAAUGUACAUUUUCUGAGAGUUUUGUGUUUGCUGUCUUUCUUACUAUUGUUGGAUCAAAACACUUUUACCUCCCGUGGACUAGUUAUGCAUAUCUACAGCUCUGAAACCUUUUGAUUCAAAAAUCCCUCAAGGCAGAAAGCCUCUGGGAUAAAUACUUACCAAAUUAUGUUUGAACAAUUACAUAACAAAGAGAUGGUCCCUGGCUCAUUAAGAACAACACAUGACAAAUUAUUUCCUUAUAUUUGCAGAUAGCAUUACUGGUCUGGCAGGUGAAGGGAAAAAUCAUUGCCCAUAGAUAGAGUUUAGCUCUACAGAGUCAAAAAUUCAUUGAGAUAGCCAACAGCUUUCUCCUGGUGGGUAGGGAGAAAUUGGGCAGUAUGAUAAUAGAGUCAGUUGUGCUCCUUUCACUAAAAUAUCUGUAUGCAAAAUAUUAUAUUCAUAUCACCCUUAAAGAUGUCUGUAGUCCCACUGGUAUUUUUAUGUAAUUACAUAAAUACAUAAUCUAACAAAGUAACAGCCUCCCACUCUUUCAAGGGUCCAUCUUUUCUGGCAAAUUUGGGAAGGGGAACUAGUUCUCAUAGUACUCCUAAUGCAGUCAAGGGGAUUGGCUUCACUCCUGGACCACUGCUGACACCUCCCAGCCACAGCCCCUUCUAUUUGUUAUAUCUUUUUGUUCAUGAACUUCAGCAAACUGCUAAGUGUGGGAGUGACUGCAUUCACCUCCACCACCUGACCUUUUUGCUGCUUUUAUGACCUCACUCAAGAUUGUUCAAGUAUGUGUCUACAAGAAGUACUCUUCCCCAUAUGACACAUACUUGAACAACCUUGAGUAGAAUCUUCUCAGGGACAUAGUCUAGGUUCUUGCACUGCCACUUUCAAGUUCUGCCCCGUCUCAGCCCAUCUUUCAACCUAUUUUAUAGCCAAAUGUGGUAACUCAGUGCUUCUCCGUGCAAUGUUCUAGAUGCUGGGACAAAUGAGAAGAGAUAUGAUGGUGGUUAUGAUGGUGGUUUCUGCUCAAAAGGAGAUUUACAUUCUACUGGUGGGAGAGACACAAUUAAAAAUAAUCAAAUAAGCAAGAUUCUUUUCAUUUAUCACAUACCAUAUCCCUGUCUUUACAUAUCUGUGCAUAUCUGUUGUUUGGCUCCCUUUAAGGUUUGCCACCACCAUGUACAGAAAGACAUUUAUUUAUCUUUCAAUCUCCACAGAUUAUGCAGGACACAGCAGCUCCCAGCAAUGCCUGUCUCACCACCUGAUUUGUUCAAUCUAGAACAAUCUCCUACAGGACUUCAGUCAUCCUCCUUCCCCAGGUCUGAUUGGGUUAAGGUUUCCCUUUUGUCUUCCAUCAUGUGGUGCAAGUUGUCUGUUCAUCUUGGUUGUCACCCACUGGGUGAUCACUGGAUCCAAUAGGCACUCAGCCCCAAGAGUAACUCUCAGAGCAGUCAGAAGACACAUUGAGAAGGAGAAGCACAAUCUUUACGGAUGCCCUUGCCCACAGCAAGGAAAUCAUUUCACAACUUCAGGAGUCUUCGUCACUGCAGAUGUUUGCUCUUUACACUGUAGUCUUCAUGGAUAUAAAACGCAGAACUAUUUCAGGCUCACCUUCUCCCUAUGGAUUAUCUCUUAGCUAUACAAAGGUUGAGCAGAAACUUUGCUAUUAAUAUUUUUUCCCUUUAAAUCUGAAGCCAAUCCAAUUUCUUGACCAGGGCAUUCUCCUUUCAUCUUUAUUUGAAGGGAAUCAGUUUCAGGACCCAUUCCUCUCUCCAAGUAACUUUCCAGGAAAGUGUGGUUGAUUGUGCUUUAGUUACAUAGGACACAUACUUAUCAGUUUUGUGCAUGACACAAACUAUGAAGGAUGGCAAAUAUAUUUUAAAGUAUGUUUUCAUAUGACCUAUUAAAAAUGUUGAAUACACCAGGCCAAAAAUAGAUGAUAGAAUCAAAAAUUUUUUUCUUAAUAGAAUGGAAUGGUGGUGUUUCAAUCAUGGAUAUAUAAUAUGAUGCAAUACACACACACACACACACACACACACGCGCGCACACACACAUACCAAAUUCUAAACCUUAUCUGCACUAGUUUAGGUGAGGGAGAUCAGGCAUGACUUGACAACUGUUGAUAUGAAAAGACCCUAAGGGCAUUAGUAAACCAUGAACUCACCCUACAUCUGCAGAAUGGCAUAGCAAAAAAUGGGCAAGUGCCUAGAACCAGGGACGAUGUAUUCCCACUGACAUUUGCACUGGUAAACUGAAAUCUGGCAUACUGCAUCUAAUUUGGGGACUAACUCACUGACAGGCAUACUUAUAAACCAGAGAGCAUUCAGAGUAGGUUGACUCCAGUGGAAGAGCACCUGAAAACUGUAUGAUACAGUGAACUGUUCCUGGAGCUGAGGAAUUUAACACAGAAAGAAAAGGCUCACAGUAGACUUAAGUUUCUUCAAAUAUUUACAUGGCUGGUGUGUGGAAGAAUGAGUUGGUAGAAACCAUGUUGUACAAGAGAACUGCUGGCAGACAGAUAGGAAUUUCAAACUAGAAGAGUUCAACAGUGGAACCAACCUCUUUAAUAAAAAAGUGCUUUGUCACUGAAAAUGAUCAGGUAGGGGCUCAAACAGGCUUGUAAAACGUAAAUCAUUAUUACCUUUAUUUUAUUCAAAUUAUUAUUGUGGUCUUUGUGACAACUCUUUUUAGUCUUCCUUUUUGACCUGCAAUAUGGAAAAAUCUGAAGUAUGAAUAUCUUUCAGCUUUGACCCUCUCAUCUUUCUCCUCUCUUACUUGUGCACAAAGCUUUCAUCACCUUCGGAAGGGCUGUUCUCUGGUGAGUGUCUGAUGGAGCAUGGUAAGUGCUCCCCCACUGGCCUGGAAGGCUCAGUAACUACCAGGAAGUGACUUGGGCACUGGAGAAAAUCUGGCUUAUUAUAUUAUUUAAAAAUGAGCCUUAUUAGGAAAUUCACAAAUGUUUUGCAUUAAAAUGAAGCUUGCACUUGAAGAAAUACUUGAAAAUUAUACAAAUAAAGAAACUCCUUUCAAAAUUAGUAUUCUAGAGGGAAUCAGAUGAGUCUUUGUUAACUAAAAUGUAGAAAAUGCACUCCUUGCCUGGGGAAUAUACAGUAGAGAUGUGUGAGAACAUCUCUAUAUAAUGCUAUCUAAGUCUUGCUGGCAUUAUUUGUGCAGCCUGAGUCAGCCAUGGUGGGUUCCAUGUAAGACUAAAAUUCAUUGGUCUUUUGAAUCAGUUUUUGCUUACAUUUCUGCUACUUAUCUGGAUCAUAAGUUUGAUAGCGCAGCUUACUGUGCUCCUGUUAUCCCAUGUAAAAAUGGAGCAAUUAUUUCCAUUUGCCUCAUCAAACAAUUGUAGGCAGACUUUUCAGCUGAACAUAGUAAAGAGAAAUUAAAUGACAUCCUCCUACAAUCAACGCUGGCAUAUUUGCUAUUUUGCACUUGCUUCAUAGGCAAGACUAUGCUUUGAAAAGCUUAGGAAAUAUUUUAGAGUUUAUCUCAAAUUAUACUCAAGCCCACCUUAAUGAUCAUGGGCAGAAGAAGAGUGGUAUAACUCAGUGCUCUGCUUCCAGUGGAGAUCAGACUUAAGCAUAGCAAGUAUAGUUUGUGCUGAACUUUUGUUUCUCUCAUAAUUUCAGAAGAGAGAAUCAAAUCUCUGUAAGGAGAUAUUGUAUGCUCUUGUCUUUCAGGUGAUUCUUUGAAACGUUAGUUUCUAAACCUGUUAUACCUGUGUUCUUACUGCUGUGUAAAUAUCUAUCAGUUUGUUAGUUUCCAUCUGUAUUCCUAAGGAAUUUAAAAACAGAAGUUCCAAGUAGGAAAAUCCAGUACCUACUUGGAGAGCCAGCUGAUGCCAUCCACAGAUAUUAAGAACAGGUAAAACGUUAGCUGGGAAACAUGAAGUAGAAAAGACAGUCCAGAAACGCCUGCUGAACUCUGUAUUCUGAACAGACAGGGCAUGCCGGUCUUAUUUGUGUUUGAUCUCCAGGGUCUAGCACAGUGCCUGGCACAUAGUAGGCACUCAAGAAAUAUUUGUUGAAUUUGUAAUAACUCAUAAUUCGAGAGUGAAUUGGAAAUGGAAUGGCCUUACAGUAUGGUCUCUGAGUUUAUUAUUCAAGUUAUUUAAUAACAGUGUUGAUUUAAAUUCACAUUGUAACUCUGCUUAAUAAUAUUGACAUCCUUUUAGCAUAGGCAGUAGGGCUCAAUCUGGGCUUCACCUGAAACUCAAAAAUCUCAAUGCCUCAGGCUGCCCCCAGACCAAUUCAAGCAGAAUCUUCAGGAGUGGAACCCAGAUAACAGAAUUCUUUAGGGUCCUUCAGAAAAUUCCAGUGUGCAGGUGAGUUUGAGAACCAUUACAGGAGUGUGGGGCGUGUGUGGGGUGUGUAUAUGUGUGCAUGUGCAUGUGCAUGUGUGUGUGUGUGAAACAUGAUUUAAGCUCCAUAUGCGAGUUCCACUUGAUGCUACUUCUCUCUGUUGGCAAGGGCAGGGAUUGAGGGUCUGGAGGGGAAAAACUUGCACCAGACUGUAGAAAAUGCAUAAAUAUGUAGAAGGAGUUGGUGCUAUAAAUCAUUUCACUAUUAAUUAUGCCAUGGCCUGUUUUUAUGUUCACUCUUCUUUAUAAAUGAGAUGAAAUAGCUUUACAAUGUGCCUAACAUCGUUUUAAAAUGCCACAUAAAUUCACUCCUGUUUUUAUGGGGUUGAAAAUUUUAACACAAAAAUAAUUUGCCUAGCUUGAAGAAUUUGCAUAAAACCAUCGUAGGGGUGUGUUAAAAAUUACUCUUCUUCCUUUUAAUGUAAGAGCGCAAGACAGGACAGAGGAUAGAUUUCAUUCUUAUGGUGCCCCAGGUGAAUCUCACAUUUGCAUAUUAAAGAUUCUAUUUAAAAUAAACUCCCAAGACACAAUGGGCAUUUACCCUAGAAUAUAUAUUUCAGCAUCAGCCUGGGACCAUGCAAGGAAAAUUCCUAGAGGGACAGCAGUGUCCACAGUUGUUCUAGCUAUGCACCUCUUGUGUUUUCCUUUACAAAUGUCAGCAGGAGAAUGUGGUCUGGCUAGCCCACCCCUGAUGCCAGAGAGAAAACGGUAAAUUAUAGAAACAAAACGGUAUAGCAAGCAGUCUCACUUUUACUUCUCAAAGUCUUGUGGUUCCAUUAUUUCUGUGAGCAGUUGGGCUCUCUUAUGCGAGUAAGUUGGUGAAAGCUUGUUAUUACUAACAAGUGCUAUUGGAAGUGAGGAGAUACUGGGAAUAGCUUCUCUCUUAGGGAACAAUAAAUAUUACCUAAAAGAAACGAACUCUGGAAAGAACAAUUAAAUGGUGCAAGGCAUGAGUGCAAGUUAAGAUAUGCUUGGGUUUCACUUGGGUAGCUGUUGAUAUCAAGACAUUAACUUGGUACCAAAAUUAGCUCAAGGCAACCCAUCAACAAUUCUAGCAUCUUUUUUCUCUUUUUUGAGCUUGCCCAGUCCCUCAGUCUAGUGUUUCCUUAUUCGCUAAAUGACACUGAGAAUAACCCUACCACCAGUAAUAUCUUUCAUUAGUGUUAAAUGAGAGAUACUAUGUUAAUUUCUUAUUUAUUAAUUUCUUAAUAUUUCAUUUAAAACUUAAAUGUGAUAGAAUAACUUUUCUUAAGGUUAACUUUAGUGGUUUCCUUGUUUAAAAUGUUAAAAGGCCUACAAAGAAAAAGAGAGAGAAAGAGAAAGAGAAUUUAGCUUAGGUAUUUCUGCAGAACAUUUAAAUUAUUAUUGUCUUUCUGUAGUGUCACUGGUUUAUCUGCUACCUUGAUUGUUUUUGCCUCAUCUUCGUUUGUGGUGUAAGUUGUUUGGAGUUUGGCCAGAGAAUCUAUAUGAGUGAUGUGUUUACGGCUACGAUGGGGAAGGUUCCGGUUUUAGUGCUUAGUGUUGCUUGGUCUGUAGUUUGUUCUUGGCUUAAAAGACUUACAGUACAUGGGGUGUUUUAAGGCUUGGGAGUCUUUUUUUUUUUUUUUUAAAUCCUACAGAUUUGCUUGAAAGAUGAAGCUGUCACAGAGGCACCCAAGGAAGUCAUGACAAUUCUCUUUCACUGCACAGCUUUAUUUAGGAGAAAUGCAGAAAAGUGCAGAAGUUCUAAGAGUAUAAUGUUUACAGAAAAACAAACCUAGUCUUUUUACCUUUUGUUCAAUGAUUUUGUUUUAUUAGAAGUGUCGCUUCUCCUGCACUCCUGCCACUGCCCCUGCCUCCCACCCACUUGGCCAACCCAAUUUUUAACUCAAAACAUUUUCCAGUUCUUUUUGAUUGAAAAUUGGGUUCAUAUAGGGAACUCCAUCUUCCUCACAUGAUGACCAAACCCAGGCUUCCAGAUUCUUCCUCCUUCAGUAGGUACACUUCACAUCCAGACACGUCUUGCUUAUCACAUCCCCACCCUGACUCAGAGACAUCCAGGGACGUGAACAUCUGUAGGAAUCAAUCCCCUGGCACUUUUCUCUCUUUUUACGUUUCUAUCUUCUUUCAUACCAUAUCCAUGUAAACUGGCUUAUCCAUUGUCACCCCAAACUGUCUUCCACUAUCUCAACUUUGCCUGCUUUCUCAUACUAUUUCCUCUUCAUUAUUUCUUUCUAUAUUAGUCAGGAUUCUCUAAAGAAACAGAAAUAAUAGGAGGCAUAUACUCAUGUGCACAUGUAUGUAUGUAUGCAUCUAUGUAUCUAUGUAUCUAUCUAUCAUCAAAUAAGGAGUUAGCUUGUGUCCAAAUCUGCAGAGCCAGCCUCCUAGUUCAAGCCUGCAGGUCAUGGACUGCUGUAGAACCAGAAACAGCUAAUGUUUUAGUUUGUAGGCCAUCAGGUCAGACAGGAGAAUUGUCCAUUAUUUGGGAGGGCAAAUGUUAUUAGGAAGGGCAAUCUGCCUUACUUGGUCUUUGUAUUUGAAUGCUAAUUUCAUUCAAAAACACUCUUGGGGAAGUAUUCAGAAUCAUGUUUGAACAAGUAUCUGGACACUCCAUAGCCCAUUCAAAUUGACACAUAAAAUCAACCCUCAUAUCCUCCUCGUAAACACUUGAAGCCAGUUAUGGUUACUCUCUAGAGACAAAGUACUUUAACCUAAACAUCUCAGGCCUUCAGCCACUCCUCAUACAGUUGAGUUUGAGGAACAUUAGCACCCUGGUUGCCCUUUCUCCUCACCUCCUCACAGUUUUAUCCCAAAGCAGGGAUCUGGUUUUACUCCUUCAGUUCUCCAAGACUGAGCAGACCUCCCUUGGUUUUCUUUUUUGGGUGGGGUUUUAUUCUUUUGAGGCACUCAAUAAAAAUGAUUUCUUGAUGUGUAUGCAAAAUAAAGAACUUCUGUAGUCUCUAGGAACCACCAUUUAUGUGUUGAUUGAAUGCAAGUGUUCAUCUAUGUUUUUCAACACACAGUGAGAUAGUUUAUCAGACUGGGAAGAAAUGGUGGCAUGAGGUUUGGAGUUUUUGAAGCUGGCUUUAUCAGAGAACAGAAGAUUGGAAUAUUAAAUCCUCAUUAUGUCAAGGGACAGCUGUGGCUCUGAUUUGAUUCCAGGCUUAAAUAGAAAUUGUUAAACUGCUUUUCUAGAAGUAAUCAAAAACACUAAUAUUUAAAAAUAAAGCUCCUAUAUUUUAUAAAUUAUAGUCAAAGAUCCUCUGUCCUUUUAUUAAAUAACUGUAAAAAGUAAACUUUAGCCCAAUAAUAAUUUUUCACUUAGAUCACUUUCGGAAGCAUUGCUUUUACCCAGGUAACAGUUUAUGAGAAGGCCUGAGAACAAUUCUGAUUGUCUUUAGCGCCCUCCAAAUGUCCUUGCUAGCUGUACCAAGAAGUCUGUGGUCUUUGAGCAUGCCAUAUUUCCAUGCCUUGGCCCAUUCAGUUUAUUCUGCCUAGAACACUCUCGCAUGUCUGCCCACCUGAGACAUCUUAUUCACAGUGCUUUAGCUCCAUGGUGUCUACUCUGAAAGGUCUUCUCUGACUUCAGCAGGCCAACUUCAGCAUUCUUUCCAGGCAAUGAAGCACCAUGUACAUUCUUUAUCAUGUCACUUGUCACAUUGUACGUUGUUCUUUAAUUCCACAUUUGCCUUUCUGCAACAACAGUGUCUUUGAAAGCACCACACGUGAAUACAUACUAUUAUGCUUCUGAUAUUAGCAGUUCAAUGGUGAGCAUUAUGGAUGUGGUCUGAGAGGGUGUGGUUGUGUGUCCCCUCCAAAUUGCAUGUUGAAAUGUGACCUUUAAUGUUGCAGAUGGGGCCUAGUGAAAGAUGUUCAGGUCAUAGAGGCAGAUCCCUCAUGAAUGGCUUUGUGCUGUCUUCCUGGUGAUGGGUGAGUUCUCACUCUAUUAGUUCACCAGAGCUGGUUGUUUAAAAGAGCCUGGAACCCCCUUCCCUCUCUCUCACUCCCUGUAUCACCGUGUGACAUGCCUGCUCCUCCUCCACCUUCCACCAUCAGUAAGAGUUUCCUGAGGCCUCACCAGAGGCUGAGCAGAUGCUGGUGCCAUAUUUGUACAGUCUACACAACUGUGAGCCAAAUGAACACUGUUCCUUAUAAAUUACCCAGUCUCAGGUAUUCCUUUACAGUAAUGGAAAACAGACUAACACAUGCUCCCAACCUUCUCAACCUUCAAGCCUAAUGUGGACCAAAGUCAUGUCAUCUUUGUCACCAGUAUCUAUUAAAUCAACAAAUAAAAAUGGAUUUCUACAGUAGACUCUUUAAAUAUAGGGAUAAUAUUGUAUGGUUUUUUUGUUUUUGUUUGUAUACUCAAAACUUGGCAUAAUUAUGUGUUGAGUAAAGGGAGGAAUGAUUAAUUUAAGAAAUUUCAUUGUUCACUUUCAGUUUUAGAUGAGCAAGUAACUUUUCAGAAAAAUCUCAUUUAAAUGUGUAUGUUAAUUUCUUUUCAUAAAUGCUGUUUUGAAGCUGAUAAUUUUAGGGGUAAUGAAAAUUCAAAAGUCAGGUCAUCUCCCAGGGAGAGUGAGUAGGAAUGAUAUGACACUUUUACUAGCAAGAGAUAUUUAGACAAUUCUAAUCAUAGUUUCAGUAAUUAUAAAAUUAUUAACAUCAACUGUCAGUUAUCUUUAGACUUCAAAGAUAGAAUUUAACCUUUAACUCUGUCCAAAUCUGUCAUGUAAACAACCUAAAUUAACUAUCCUUUGAGAUCAAAAAUUAAUAUCUUACAAGGGUUUACUCAGAGUAUGCUAAUUCUUUGAAGCUUCCUGAAAACCAAAUUCAAAUUCAAGACAAUUAAAUGUUAAUAAAUUUCGGUGAUCAGAGAGACAAAUACAAGGAAGAUUAAUAUUCUUUCCCCAUGCUUUGGAGACAGGCUCUGAAAGUGAUCAAAUAAAAUGUUACCUUUGAAAGUGACACCUUACAUUAGAGUGUUUGGAUGUCCUUCUAUAGUUAAUGAACAGACAGAGUUUUUUUCUUCCUACUGAGCAUUGAGAUAGGUGCAAGGGUUGGUGAGCUCCCUUGAGGAGGUCAUAGUAAGAAUAAAAAUGUAUUCAUUUAUUCAACAAGUUUUUACUGAGAAGCUGUCAUUGGCAGACGUUGUAUUCAACACUGGGAUUAUAGAAAAGAAAAGCAUGGAUCUUGUCCUGUGGAGCUUACUGUUGAGGGGCAGGGGGAUAAAAACCACAAAUACACAGAAAAAUGAACACAAAGUAAUUAACAAAUAAAAACACCAUCACUCGUAAAUACUCAAGAGAGCAUUGUAUUUCACAAUUCACAUUCUGACCUAAUUUUAGGAUGGGAUUUAGCCAGAUCCUUGAGUUGGGGAUUUAACUGUAAAUGUUUACUCACGAUGCAAAGUUUGUGCAGAGCCUCAGAACCACAGGCGUCCUCACCUACUGCUCAGCACACAUCGCCACCCCUCAGAGCACACUUUCUCACUUGAGGAAAUAAGGCUAAUGUAGGAAGCAUUUAGCUCAGCUCUGUGCCAGCUCUGUAUUGACCUUGUAUGUUCAGCUCUGUAAUUUUAAGACUUCAUAAAUAUAAAAAUACUUACUUUUUAUCUUCAGUUUGGCUUUAAUUUCUCUUCUCUGGGAGAACUGUAAACCUGCCAACUUUAAAGUUAGUUGAUCUAUUUAUUCUGAGCUAUAGGAAUACAGAAUAAGUCAGCUGUUAUUUUUUUAAAGUUAGAGCAAUCUUAACUGAUAUCCUAGGGAAAAAGUUUAUUGCAUGCAUUAAAAAUGGAAUUUGGUUUAUUUCCAUGGUUUUGGAGCAAUUCAGUGUGCACGUAUUUAUUGCUCAGAUGCAUGCUAUUACCCCUAUUACAGAAGCACAGAGGCUUAGGAUGAUAUUUUCAAUGUCCUUCCUCUUAAACACAUUUUACUCUUCUGAAGCUCUUUUGUACUUUUCUGACCACAGCCUCAUAGGAUCACCUGAGGACAGGCCUCAUUGUCUUGCAUCCUGAUUAAUAAGAUCAACACAGGGGCAGCUAUGAACAGCAGCUGAGCCUGACUGUUCUUAAGGGGAUGCCCUAUUUGGUUUGGGUGUUUCUGGGUUCUCUAUAGCUAGUUUCUGUGAGCGGUCACAUCUGUGGUCAGAGCCAGGUCAGCUGCAGUGGAAGGUCCAGGGGGUAAGUGUUCAGGGUCCUUAUUGAGACUUUCCAACCUUGGGGGUAUGGGCGCUGUGGAUAUCAUUCUGCUGCUCACUCUUGAAGCAAGUCUUAUGGGCCUGCCAAAGCUGGACAUCCAGGCCAGCAAGAGCUAGCACAGAAAGAGCUUCCUAGUAAGGAGUAAUAGAUGCAUCUGGAUAAGUGGUGGAGCUUGGCAACGAUUUCAGAGGAGGCAGGCAUUUGGCAUCAAGGGCUACUUCAGCAGAUAGGGGACACCUAGCUUAGGUUCAAAGGUGAGAGUACAUGCUGGAGGAGGUUUAGGAUGGUACUGAGAAACAGAAACCAAAAUCCAAAGUUCAGAGGACAGGGGGAGGGGAUUAAUAAGGCAGAAGCUUAGCAUAAAGCAAAGGAAUCCAGCUACCAGAACUGGAGUACGGGCAGAAGAAGGGAUAGGUCCAGUUAUAAUGGCUGAAAUUACAGCAAAUGCCCUUAGAGGUUUGAGUUGUUUACCUGUAGGGAGAGGAGUGAGGUAGGGGCAGAGAAAGGACACACCUGACCCUAAGGAUCAGCAGGUCCUCCCUGGGGUGUGGGACCUUGGAGUGACUGGAGAUAGUGCAUCUUGUGCAACUCGGUGGUUUUUGAAGGAGUCUCUGUAAUUCGCCACACGCACAGUUUAUUUCCAUCUCUUUUCUAGUUCUACAUUGUGGUCCUUCUAUUCCUGGCGUAUAGCCCCUUCCCUGGGACUCAAAUACCCAUUGCUCAAUAUUCAGCAUAUGCUUACUGAGCACCUACUAUGUUCAAGGGCAUUGUGUUAGAUUGUCUGAGGCCUCCAGUGGUCAAUGAGUCAGAGUUCCCAUCCUCAAGGUAUGGACACUGUGGUGCUGAGGCAUGAAAAGGAUGCAAAUAUGCCCAAGUCGAAAUGGUAGGUGGUGGAUGAGAUAUGAGUGGUCCAGAAGACCACAGCUGUCUAGGGCAGAAAGAUAGGGUUCAAGGAGUGUGUAUGGAAGGUUUCUUAGAGGAACCCUUGCUUGAGUUGAACCUUGGAGAUUGACAUUCAGUUGGUAUAGAGGAAGGGAUAUGGCUGAGGAAAGAGUAGGUAUAGAGAUAGGAAAAGCAUUCUCUUGGCAUUUAGGACAAGGAGACAAGGUUGGAACUGAAAGGUAGCCCUGCACAGAUGUGCCCACAUUUGGUAGAGCCUGAGUGUCAGAUUAAUUCCACUAAAUGACAUUGAAGCUUCAGGUAGUAGUUGCAGAGCUUUCCUGAAUAUUUUAUGCAAGACUAAUACAAUGAAGGAGGUGCUUAGUUUUACACAGGGUGAAUUAAAUGGGCACCUAAGGAAGAAAAGCAUGUCAGAACGCAUAUGCAAUUGUGAGAGCAUCAUGAAGUGCUGUGAUGGUAACAACUUGAUGAGGGAGAGAAAGGAAUCAAAGAUGGCUGCUGUUUUGCAUCCAGCUGACUCUGAGACUAUUGGUACAAUACAUUGCAUUAGGGAAGUCUGUGUGGGUGUGUGUAUGUGUGUGUACGCGAGUUAUGAAUGCAGAAGACUGAAGUACAAAUAGAAGGUUGAUUAGGCAGCUAGCUAGAAACAGAUGUGAACAUGUUUAGGCAGUUAGAAUGUGGUGUCACAGCUCGGGGAUGUGUUAGGGAUUGAGACAGAAGAGAGGUCAGAACCUUGGCUUUCAUAUUCAUUUAAGGCACAGUAGGAAAACAAGGAGCAGGAGAAAGAAACAGAGACACAACCAUUCAUAAUAGAUGACAACCAGGAAAGUGCGUUACCAAACCGAGAGGUGAGGGUUUCACGGAGAAGAUACUCUAUCUUGCUCUAUAAUAAUUAAAAAUUAUCUAUCUGUCUGUGUUAAAAUGGAUACAGAUAGAAGUCACCAAUUAAGAGGGUUAAGAGUAUCGUAUUUAAUCAAGUACAUACAUACAUUAAUAUCCAUUUUCAGAAUGUGAAUAGCUUAAAAUAAAGGCUGACAGAAGUCCCUUCUGUCUGCUUAUAACAAAACUGGUGUUCACUGUAUAAAUAACAUUUAAUUUUGGUUUUCUAGUGAAGAAUCUGUGCACAAUCUCCUUAUCUGUGGACCACGGGGUCAAGGAAGGAACUGGUAACUUUGCACAAAAGCCCAUUUUCAUCUAUCACUGGGCAUGGGAGCUCCUCCUGUGUCAGCAGCCCACACCUUUCUCCAGACAUGGGGCACAGGGUCAUUGUACAAUCUCCUUUUGGUAUUUCCCCUCAUGAGCUUGGAAAAGACAACUUGGAACUUACUGUAGUUUGGUGAUUGAAAAGUUCUAUAUGGCCAGGCGCAGUGGUUCACACCUGUAGUACCAGAACUUUGGGAGGCUGAGGCAGAUGGAUCACUUGAACUCAGGACUUUGAGACCCACCUGAGCAACAUGGUGAAACUGUCUCUACAAAAAAUGCAAAAAUUUAGCUGGGUGAGUGUUGUACACUUCUAGUUCCAGAUACUUGGAAGGCUGAGAUGGGAGAAUUGCUUGAGCCCAGGAGGGAUGCCACUGUACUCCAGCCUGGGUGACAGAGUGAGACCCUGUCUCAAUAAAUACAUAAAUGGUUCUAUAAUCUGCAGAGUAAAGUGGGAUGCUGUGUGCUUGAAAAUUGCUAGGAGAGUAGAUUUUAAGUGUUCUCAACACAAAACAUUGGUAAGUAUGUGAGACAGCAUACAUGUUAAUUGGCUUGAUUUAGCCAUUUCACAAUGUAUACAUAUUCCAAAACAUCAUGUUGUAUACUAUAAUACAUACAUUUUUUUAUUUCUCGAUUAUCACAGCGAAAAGCAUUAGACCUAAUUCUUCAGGAUCAGUGGUCAAGUGGUUCACAGUAGGGAAUAGUGGACUUGGUGCAUACUGUUAAUAAAACAUUUGCCUUAAAUUUCAAGUUAAAUAUGAUAUUUUUAAGGAACACUGUAAGAUAGAGAUAUAUAAUGAGACUAAAAUUAUAGCUUUACCGCAGAGCUCACUAGGCUUAAUGAUGGAAAACCUACAGUUACAUUGUUUUUGGUGUUAUCAGAGCUUGUCUACAACAUGCUUUUGGUGUUAUCAAACAUGGUUUAUAUUGUGUAUGAAUUACUUGGGUAUAGAUGUAAAUAUCACUUCUAUAUUUAGACUCUCUUAUUGGGUUCUGCCUAGAGCUCUAUGAACAACUUUUGUUAUUAGAAAAUUUAUGAUCUGUAAUUUGUAGACAUGUCAAAAACUAUACCAAAAUGAAUUAAUAAAGACACUUUAAACAGAUGGUUCUUAAAAAAAUGCCCUAUAUGGGAUACAGUAUACUGAACUGAAGCAAGAUGUGGAAGAUGAUACAUUCUUGUCUGAAAACCUUCACAGAUGUCAAUGACAAUAAAUGCUAGACAGAGCCAAUAAAUUCUGGACGUUUUAGCAGGAAAAUUGCUUUGAACAAUUUAUAUCCCCAGAAUCUCAGCCACCUUAAGUUAACACCAUAGAUCAUUGUAUCUUGAUCUCUUGUGCAUAUGAACUAAGGAGAAAUGGAAAAUUUCAGGAAGAGUCUGAAGGUCAAGGUGGCCCUAAGCUUUGGCUUCUUGAAUCUAAACCACUCUGAUUACAGUGAAAAUGAAUAUUUGAUCAACCCCCUAUUGACCAUGUGUCCUUCCUAAGGCAAUUUUUAAAUUUGGAGAGGCAUGGUGGGGCUUUCCCUGGUGUUAGGAUAGGAGGGCUUGGUUGUUCAUAAAAUGUUGGAAUACCCUUGAGUUUUCAUGCCCCUGUAUUUAUACUACUUAAAAGAAGAAACCCCUUUGAAAUUGGAGGAAAGAGACUUCGGUUUUAGGGCCAGUUCUGGUACUAACUAAUAGAUAACUAGGUCAUUUACAUUAUGGUCCUUAUAUUUCUAACUUUAAAAUAAAGUUAUUUUUCAGCAUAAGCAAUACUUUAUUUAGGUUUUACACCCAUUCUUAGAAACUCAUUCUUGGAAAUUGAUAUCUAAAUAGACAUCUUCAAAUUUGUUUGAAGCUUUGGCCAGAACUCAUUAUGUUUACAUUUGUCAAGUGAAAUUACACCUUGACCAUUAAAAAAGAAAUCCUGCUUGGAUGUACUUUUGAACUGAUUAAGAAAAUUAUUUGUUUUGAAAAGAUGAAUGCAUUUUAAUCCUGGUCAAUGAGGCUUGAUUGGACUAUGCAAUACAGGCGAGGCAGUUUUGUCCUGAUUUUGAUACCAGCUCUUUUGUGUGUGUUCCCAACCAUCCACUUCUAUGGAAGAGCAAACAAUAGGAACUGUAGCCCAAGCGUAGGUGAGUCAUUACUCAUAAGGAUGACAGAAAAGCAGUUUCCAAUGCUACAAGUGACAUUAAUGCUAUAUAAUCAUGUCCCAGGAUAUUUUGGCUGCCGUCAUAUUUGUUGGCAGCAGCAGCUACAGCAAAGUGCCAUUGUUGGGUAUGCUGCAAAGAGACGGUCAGAGUCUGAUGUCAGUUCCAAUUUUUUGAAACACUUAAUCCACAUGAUUUAUAGGUCAUCUUUAAAGUUCAGAUGUGUUUACCAACUGCAAGGUUCCAGAAACAGCCUGUCCAGCUGUUCAUAAGUAAUAUUUGCUACUGAAAUCCAGAUUCAACAGAUGUGUACCGAGUACCAGAUGUUUACACAUGUAUAGUCUCAUUGUACCCUUGCAAGUACUUGUGAGGUGGGUCUUGUAUCAGCUUUCAUAGAUGAAGGUGUACUAACAAAGGUUAAACAUCUCAUCUGAGCUCAUAUGACUAACAAUGGUAUAACCAAGUGAGCCCUUCAGUACUCACUCCAGUUCGUAACCAGGUCUCACCUCUUAGGUUCUGAUGUCUGUGCAGCUACUGACUGAUGAGCUGAAGUAGUGGUCUCAUGAGUAAUGAGAGAAAAGAGUAUCCCAAGAAAAAAUAAGAAAGACAUCACACCGAUGAGAAAACCCAGCAAACAGGCCUUCCUGAGCUUUCAAUGAAAGGACAAUCCCUACACGCACAAGGUUUGGACUGGAUUGCUGGGAACGCUUAUGUCUUUCAGCCUCUCAGCCUAAGUGAUCCUUCAACAGUCUUUGCAAAUGCAUGAAGAAUAAGGAUAUCUACAUUGAGGUAUCCUCAUCCCAAGCUCUUAGUGAACUGCUGCACUAGGUGUGUCCAAACCAUGGCACACUCGGGUAGUUUAUGCCUUCAAGGCAAGCAUCCUCUAUCGUUAUAACAGUAUUUUCAGUAUUCACUCAGCCUCUCUGCUGCCUUUGAUUCCUAGCUUAGACCAGGAACAGAAUUAGAGCGUUGACUUUGGAGUCAGACUGCUAGGGUUUCUCAUUUUUGUCCCUGACUGGCUAUAUAUUUUUAGGUAAGAUAGUUUACCUCUGUCCCUCAAUUUACUCUUCUGUAAAAUGACAAAAUAAUAGCUAUCUCACAGGGUUAGGAGGAGGGAUAAAUAAGUGUAAAAAUUCUCUAUUUGCUUUGGGUUGUUCAAGAGUCAUCAAUAGGCCGAUAAGAGUGUAUGUGUAGGUAUUUACUAUAAGUGUGUAUGUGUAGGUAUUCAUUAUAAGUGUGUAUGUGUAGGUAUUAUUUUUUAUUUAACUUCUUUUCAAUUCUCUUUAGCUUUUACCUUUUCGCUUUUUGUCUUCUCCUGAAUGUUCGUUAAAUUCCUAUUUAAUAAAUAAGUGUGUCAUCCAAACCUACUCUCUAUUUAUUUUACUUCCGUCAACCCAUUCUUUGGGAAAAAAAAGUUCAAUCACAGCUUUAAUUAUCACCUAGGUUCUAAUAAUGCUCAAAUUGAGACGCAUUUUAAAUAGGUGGCUUUUGAGAACUCGCUGUGUGCCAAGUUCUGGGAGAGUGUCCCUUACAUGUAUUUUAUUGAUUUAUCUCAAGAGCAAGUAUAUACUAUUAUUUUGACAUUAAAGAAGAGAAAGUUAAGUCCCAGAGAGAUUUACUAACUUGCCCUAAGUCUCACAGCAGGUGGAUAACAGUUAUCACUGCUGGCUGCCUACUGAGCUAUAAGAGGUUCAUUUUUCACAAACCAUUUACAGAUUCAUUUACAAGGCAUGUAAUAAUGUUCUGAAGAAUUUGGGCAGUAUGGAAGUGUCGGGUAAGAGGAAACUUUUAGCUUAAAAAAGAUAAUAUAGUACAAAGAGCUCAGGGCCAGUUGUAAGCCUUAGGUUGCAAUUUUUUUUUUUUUAGCAAUUUAGCAUCUGCUAUCUCAGGAUAGUCAUAUAAUCAUUUCAGUCUUCAUCUUCAAAAUGAGAUAUGUAAUGUUGAUGUGAGUAUUUUAAAACACUAUAGAUAAGAAAGGUGUUUGUAAAUCUUCAGUCAUUACAGAAAUGUAAUUCUAUUACUCUUAUUAUUUAUUUUUCAGACAUGUAGAAUUCCAUUUGUAAUCUCAGACACAAAUUGGUGAAUAUUAAUUAACUGUUGGGCAAAAUUUAUUCUGAUUUCCUGAUAUAAUUUUGACUAACAAAAGAUAGAGAAUGGUGGGCUUGUUUUUUUAAAAUCGUAUUUUAACUUUGGAAGGAAACUUCGUUAGCAUCAAACUGAAUUUUGGAGCCAUUUUAACCAAUUCUAAGUGAGAAUCUAUUUUAUUUAUUUAUCUAUUCAUUUAUUCUGACAGAGUCUUAUUCUGUCAUCUAGGCUGGAGUGCAAUGGUGCAAUCUCAGCUCACUGCAAACUCCAUGUCCUGAGUUUAGGUGAUACUUGUGCAUCAGCCUCCCUGGUAGCUGGGACUAUAGAUGCCUGCCACCACACCUGGAUAAUUUUUGUAUUUUCAGUAGAGAUGGGGUUUCACCAUGUUGGCCAGGCUGGUGUCGAGCUCCUAGCCUCAAGUGAUCUGCCCACCUUGACCUCCCAAAGUGCUAGGAUUACAUGUGUGAUCCACCGUGCCCAGCCAGUCAAUUAAAUUUAAUUAGUCAAUAAAGCUACAUAUGAUUCCAAUCCCUCUCUUUCCCAACCUAGUUCAUUGUACUAAUAUCUAGCUGGUUUUUGGAGAUUUCACCCUAAUGAAGCUAAAACACAUGAAACUUUAUGUGUAGAUUAUAUCUGUGGUUCAUUUAAUGGGCUAGGAAAAGGGGUGUAGCUGUCUCUUUAAUCAAGCAGACUUUGGGCUUUUUCCAUGAGAAUAACCCAGGUACUGAUCACCUUAAUGACAACACUAUUUUAAAAAGCAUUUUAAACACAUUAUAUUGUAGAUUCUUUUCUUUUUUUUUCCUUAAUGGAGCUGUCCUUGAAGGACCAUUAUGCCAUUCCUUUCAGAUGUUUAAUAAAGCAAAAGAUUAUAAUGAUCAUGCUUGAGAAUAGGUUUUGUGCAGCUGGGAAUUAGCAAUCUUUGAUCAAAUCAUCAAGAUGCUAAAAUAUAUUUUCAGUGGCGUGGUGAUGGGCACUUUAUCAAAUUGAUUUAAUCAGUGUUACCUAUGACCAUUCAUACAAUUAUAUUUUUAAUUAUUGUCAUCUUAAUCAAAACACAUGUAUUUAUGACUCCUUGGUGUACAUUCCUAAUUUGAGAUCUAUGAGAAUUUCAUUUCAGGCCCUCCAACUAGCAACAACCCUGCUAUGUAAGCAACUGAAUAAAGCAUGGGUGCAUUAUUCAUUGUAGAAAGUGCUAGUGUGGGGUUUUGAGUGUGGGUCCCUGAAUGUGCUUGUUUAGGUUCAAAAUGUACGUUGUGCUUAUUAGUGGCCGUGUGUUAGACAUGUAACUCAAUCACCUAUGAUAAUGUUACCUUAUGAGAAUUAAAUGAGAGAUAGUUUGUUUUAUGGAAACUGUUAGUAUCAAACUUUUAGCAAGUGUUCAGUAAAUGGUAGCGGACCUUUAAAAAUAAUAUGCUGUGCCUCACAAUAAGAGGAGUCAUCUAUGACAAACCCACAGUCAACAUUAUGCUGAACAGGCAAAAGCUGGAAGCAUUUUCCUUGAGAACUAGAACCUUACAAGGAUGCUCACUCUCACCAUCCCUAUUCAGUGCAGUACUGGAAGUUCUUGCCAAAGCAAUCAGACAAGAGAAAGAAAUAAAAAUUUAUCCAAAUAGUAAAAGAAUAAGUCAAACUAUCUCUCUUCACUGAUGAUAUAAUUCUGUACAUAGAAAACUCUGAAGAAUCUGCUAGAAGGCCCCUGGAACUGAUAAACAAUUUCAGUAAAAUUGCAGGAUGCAAAAUCAAUGCACAAAAAAAUCAGUAGCAUUUUUAUAUACCAAUAAUGAACCAAGCUAAGUGCCAAAUCAAGAAUGUAAUACCAUUUACAAUAGUUGCAAAAUAUAAAAUACCUAGGAAUACAUCUAACCAAGGAGACAAAAGAUUGCUACAGGAUCUCUACAUGGAGAAUUACCAAACACUUAUGAAAGAAAUCAUAGAUGACCCAAACAAAUGGGAAAACAUUUCAUGUCAUGGAUUGAAAGAAUCAGUAAUAUCAUUAAAAUGGCUGUACUGCCCAAAGCAAUCUACAGAUUCAACACUAUUUCUAUCAAGUUACCCAUGCCAUUUUUCACAGAACUAGAAAAGACUAUUCUAACAUUCAUAUGGAACUGAAUAAGAGCAAAACAAUUCUGAACAACAACAAAAAAAGCCAGAGGCAUCACAUUACCUGAUAUCAAAUGGUACCAUAAGUGUACAGUAAGCAAAACAGCAUGAUACUGGUACAAAAACAAACAUAUAGACCAAUGGAACACAGUAGAGAACUCAGAAGUAAAGCUACACACCCACAGCCAUCUGUUCUUUGACAAAGUCAGCAAAAUAAGCAAUAGAGAAAGGACUUUCUAUUGAAUAAAUGGUGCUAGGAUAUCUGGCUAGCCACAUGCAGAAGAACAACACUGAACCCCUGCCUAUCACAGUAUAUAAAAAUUAACUAAAGUGGAGUAAAGAUUUAAAUAUAAGAUCUCAAACUAAAAGAAUCCUAGAAGAAAGUCUCGGAAACACCAUUCUGAGAAUGGAUCUUGGGAAAUAAUUUAUACUAAGUCCUCAAAAGCAAUUUCAAUAAAAACAAAAAUUGACAAGUGGGACCACAUUAAACUAAAGAGCUUCUGCACAGCAUAAGAAAUUUUCAAAAGAGUAAACAGGCACCCUACAGAAUGGGAAAAAACAUUGGCAAACUGCAUCUGUCAAAGGUCUACUAUCCAAAACCAUAAGGAAUUUAAACAACUGAACCAGCAAAACAAAUUACCUCUUUAAAAAAUGAGCAAAAGACAUGAACAGACACUUCUCAAAGGAAGACGUACAAGGAGCUAGAAAACAUAUGAAAAAAUGCUCAUCAUCGCUAAUCAUCAGAAAAAUGCAAAUAAAAACCACAUGAGAUACCAUCUUACACCAGUCAGAAUGCUUAUUAUCAAAAAGUCAAAAAAUAACAGAUACUUGGAAGACUGUGGAGAAGAGAGAAUGUUUACAUGGUGGGAAUAUAAAUUCAGUCACUAUGAAAAACAGUUUGGAGAUUUCUCAAAUAAGACAGAGCUACCAUUUGACCCAGCAAUCCCAAUGCUGGAUAUAUAUCCAAAAGAAAAGCAGUCAUUCUGCCAAAAAGACAUAUGCAUGAGUAUACUCAUCGCAACAUUAUUCACAAUAACAAAAACACAGAAGCAACUGAGGUGCCCCUCAAUGGUGGAUAGAUAAACAAAAUGUGGUACAUAUACAACACAGGAUACUACAUAGCCAAAAAGGAAUUAAAUCAUGUUCUUUGCCGCAACAUGGGUGCAGCUCGUGGCCACUAUCCUAAGCAAAUUAACACAGAAUCAGAAAACCAAAUACUGCAUGUUCUCACUUAUAGGUAGGAGCUAAACAAUGGGUAGUCAUGCCAUAAUGAUGGCAACAACAGACAUUAGAGACUACUUGUGGGAGAAGGAGGACAAGAGCUGAAAAACUAUUGAGUACUAUGCUCAGUACCUGGGUGACAGUCUUGUUCAUGCCCCAGACCUCAGUAUCAUCACAGAAUAUACCCACAUAACAAACCUGCAUCUAUAACCCCUGAACCCAAAAUAAAAGUUGAAAAAAUAAUAAUAUGCUGAACAUCAGAGACAAUAUUGAUAAUUAAUACUUUUUAAACUGUCUUUAUCACAUUGCUCUUGACAAUUCAGACUUAAGAAAUCUAGACCCAAAGGACUGACAAAGCAAAUUGAACCACUUUUUUUUCAGACUCACAACAUUAAAAAAAAUCAUUUCUGGAAACGAAGUUCCAAUAAAAUAAUCAGUUGUCUUUCAUUGUGUAUGUGCAACAUGCAGGAGGAAGGUUUGCCUGGGAUCAGUGUCUCUUACCUAGAACUUAGGAUCUAGGAGGCUUCCAUGGAACAAUCAGGGAUGUUAGGGCUCUGGAAGCAUCUCUGAAAGAAGCACUUUUUUUUUUGUGGCUCACAAACAAACAGGAUAGGAGAGAAAGAAAGCAGCAAAUGCUGAAAUAAGGGGUCCAGGUGGAAACUGUCAGGUUUCUGAGGGCUGGCUAAGAAAAAGAAGGCCGCUUCCUGAAAGUAAGCCCAGACUGAGUAAUGGAUCCAGUCAGCAGAAAUAGGAAAAAAAAAAAAAAAGGCCAAGGAUGGAAAACCAGUCAGCAAUUCAACCUGUGCAAUAUUUACUUUUGAUCCCAAUUUAAUGUUUCUAAUAAAUCAAACCCUCUAAUCAUCUUAUACAGAUAUUUUGAUAAAAAUAAUCCAUGACAAAGGUUGGCUGUGGCUUAGGCAAGGCUGGAUUUCCAUCACUUUGUCUCAGACUCUAUCCCUGGCUAAGUGGUGAACCUAUUACACUUAAGUAUAUCAUAUCAUAAAGGAGUGAAAUAAACUUAAAAAUAAAUCAGACCCCAGGUAUCAUGGGUGGUAACAGAGUAGUAGGAUUUGUUUUUCUUUGAAAGCUCUUAUUGUUUUUUGGUCUCUGUACCUUUAGAAUGAAGACUCUUUAGUGUUUUGUUUUUAAAAGUUGAGAAAGUUGCUCUAUCUUUAGAUAUUUACUCUUAUGCUUGAAAAAAAUCUUGCAGCAGUAGAAGAUAAACAUUUCAAGUUAUUGUGAGGAAGAAUCCCAAGUAUAUAAGAAAGGGAAAUAAAAGGCAGGUCACAGUGGGGCAGGCCUUACUGGCAAAAGCUGUAAUGGGUGGUACAGGGAGCCUGGGACUGUCCUGCAGAAUCAUAUCACUCUGUAAGGUUAAGUGACUUGCUAAUGGCCAUGUUUUGGAAGGCAUGCCUGAUGCCAAAGUUCAUCACCUUUCUUGAUGAUACAGUCUCUAUGUUUAUAGGUUUUUGGAAGAGAAAUGAGCCCAAUCAACCUCUCAUGCACACCUUCUUACCCAUUUUCACCUUACUGUGGCUAGCCUGUGUGCAAACACCUUUUUGACUUUUCUCCCACUUCUAUUUGUUGCCUUCUAGAUAAAAGGAAAUAACAUAAUUGGUCAUAGCCCCUUUGGAUAUCGAUGAUCAUAAUACAUAUCUGUUAUUUGUAAUAAUACAAAUAAACAAUACAUACAUUUUAUGACCUUACUCAUUUUUCAAUCCCCCUAAAUAAGACAAAUAAACUACUUUGUUGUUCCUUGCAAUUGAAAAUGAAGUAACAAGUUCAGCAAUUGGUGCAAACUACAUUUUGAAAGUUUCCAUAGAGCAUGAGUAAAUAGGCAAUUUAGCACAGUACUUCUGGCUGAUGCAUUUUAUAAAACUUUUCUUCUAUCUAUUCAGGAGCUCUUUGCUUGGGAAAAACUCAGCCUGCAUGCAGUUAUGUGUUUUUAUGUGGAGAUAGCACACACUUGCAACUCUUUGGUCUUAUAAAAUUACUUGACACUAUUUUUUCCUUUUUAUGGUGAGCUGCUAUCAUCUGUCUUUGAAAGUACUUUAAAAAUACCAAAGUUGAAGUUCUAUUUCCUUCACAGAUCAUUGGGUGCUUUGCCUUAGCACCUUGCAUAAUGAAUGUCUCAUUGGCAUACUGCGUAAGCAUCAUUUAGUCACAAAACCUGAAAAAAUUCCCUAUUGACUAGGAGUGGCUUUUUAAAACCCUAGCAAUAUAUACAUGAAAAUACAAAGAAAAAAAAACACAAGGUCAUAUAAGAAUUACUGUGGGCUGCUUUCUCCAUGAAAUGACCUGGGCAAAUCUAAGCAAAGAACUCCUUAAUUAAAUUAGCAGAAAUGGCACAUGAUCUCACAACACUGAUUGUUCCUUCGUUCCUAGAUUUAAAACAAACAAGAUAUUCCUCAUGACCCUAAAUAAGUGCACAAUUGACCACUAGAGUAGUGCUUAAAUAGAAGAAUACUGAAAUAAACAGAAAAGCCAAGUAAUUUAAAACAUUCGUAGUAACCAAAUUUCCUACUAAAUCCAUGAGAGAGUAUCUGUUUUCCAUGUGCAUUUUGAAUAAAAGCAUUCUCUUUCACCUGUGUCUUUGAUGAGACAAGACAUUAGAAGUGCUAUGGCAGCUGGAAUGCUAGAGGAACAAGAUCAGAGACCAUGGUGACAUUACAACUGCAGCUACAGUACAUAUACCUGCAUAUGUGAGAGUGAAGAAGAUCUCACACGUGGAGAGCUCAGGACUUCUGCUUGACAUGGUGAAUUGGCCACACACAUUUAUCUUUCUUCCCUUCUAAAACCCCUCUCAAAUGAGAGUAAAGGAAUUAAUGGGGCAUUAACCCACAAGAACCUAGAUAAGAGGAGAGGAGACAAUAGCUGAUAAGACACUUGAACAAACUUUGGAAGAAAUUGAGUGAAGUGUUAGUUAAUUUAGCAGAGAAGUGCAUAUUUAAACUUAUAUAAAGUAAGAGAAGGGGAUACUAAUAAGGAGUGAUCCAGUUUGCCCCACAGCUUCCCUUGAAAUGUCCACCAUUUAGAUCCUCAGAUCCCCAAAAAGGUAGGGUAAAGGACAGGACAGGUAUGCCAAGUGCCCUUUCUCACCCAUAGCAGCCAUGUUAGUAUCAUUUUCCCACUCCAUGGCAGUGAGUGGAAAUAGUUUAUUAUCUGAAGUUUGAAUCCAGGAGGCUCCAGGUUAAAGGGAAAAUGUGCUAGCCAUGUGCAGAAAGCUGAAACUGGAUCCCUUCCUUACACCCUAUACAAAAAUUAACUCCAGAUGGAUUAAAGAUGUAAACAUAAGAUCUAACACCAUAAAAACCCUAGAAGAAAACCUAGGCAAUACCAUUCAGGACGUAGGCAUAGGCAAGGACUUCAAACACCAAAAGCAAUGACAACAAAAGCCGAGAUAGACAAAUCGGAUCUCAUUAAACUUAAGAGCUUCAGCACAGGAAAAUAAACAAUCGCUGCAGUGAACCAGCAACCAACAGAAUGGGGAAAAAUUUUUGCAAUCAACCCAUUUGACAAAGGGCUAAUAUCCAGAAUCUAUAAAGAACUAAAGCAAAUUCACAAGAAAAAACAACCCCAUCAAAAAGUGGGCAAAGGAUAUGAACAGACACUUUCCAAAAGAAGACAUUUAUGUGACCAACAAACAUGAAAGAAAGCUGAACAUCAUGGUCAUUAGAGAAAUGCAAAUCAGAACCACAUUGAGAUACCAUCUCACUCCAGUGAGAAUGACUAUCAUUAAAAAAAUCUAGAGACAACAGAUGCUGGAGAGGAUGUGGAGAAAUACGAAUGCUUUUACACUGUUGGGAGUGUAAAUUAGUUCACCCAUUGUGGAAGACAGUGUGGUGAUUCCUCAAGGAUCUAGAAAUAGAAAUACCAUUUGACCCAGCAAUCCCAUUACUGGGUAUAUAUCCAAAGGAUUAUAAAUUGUUCUGUUACAAAGACACAUGCACAUCUAUGUUCAUUGUGACACUGUUUACAAUAGAAAAGUCUUGGAAUCAACUCAAAUGCCCAUCAAUUAUACUAGAUAAAAAAAAAUGUGGCACAUAUACACCAUGGAAUACUAUGCAGCCAUAAAAAAGAUGAGUUCAUGUUCUUUGCAGGGACAUUGUUGAAGCUGGAGAUCAUCAUUCUCAGCAAACUGACACAAGAACCGAAAACCAAACACUGCAUGUUCUCACUCAUAAGUGGGUGUUGAACAAUGAGAACUCUGGGACACAGGGAGGGGAACAUCCCACACUGGGGCCUGUUGGGGGUGGGGGGGGGAUAAGGGAGGGACAUUUGGGUGUGGGGGAGGAUUGGGGAGGGAUAACAUUAGGAGAAAUACCUACUAUAGGUGAUGGGGGGAUGGAUGCAGCAAACCACCAUGGCAUGUGUAUACCUAUAUAAGAGUCCUUCACGACCUGCACAUGUAUCCCAGAACUUAAAGUAUAAUAAAAGAAAAUAAUACUAAAUGCAGAAGGUGGCAUGGGAGAUAUAGGACCCUACAGGGGAAUAUAAAUGAAUCUGUAAAAUCUGAAUUAAAGGAACUCAGCUCCUAGUACACCAGGGACCAGGUGUGUUUCCUCUUCAGGAUCUCAGAGAAACAAAUUCAAUGGCUUCAAAGGAAAGACUCUACGGUUCUAAACUCUGUGAGUAUAUCCUAAAGGAAACCCUGGCUUAUAGUCUGAUCACUUCAAACUCAGCAGUCAACUAGCCCUGCCAAUGUACAAAAUAAGCUUCCCCCAUCCCAGUAAACUUUCUUAAGCCUCAGCCUUAAAUGGGAAUUGACAGACAAGGAUUAUCAGACAUCUGAGAAAAGAAUCCUCCAUGAAGUAAUGAAAACAAAUCAGAAAAUAUAAAUGCAGAGGAAAUGGAGACAUAUCGGGAUCAGAAUAAAAGGUGCCCCAUGCAGGCAUAGUCAUACAUAUAAUAAAUAUUCUCAUAGAGUUAAAGCAUUGUAUUUGUGAAGUAAGAACUGGAUGCAGUAGAUAAGAACCGUUGAGGAAAAAGAAAUAAUUCUUAGGAUUUAAAUAUAUGCUGUUUGAGGGAAAAAAAAGAUUCAAUGAAAUGGGAAGGAAAAUUAAGGAAAUUUCCCAGAAAAAAAAAAAAACAAAGGAUAAUAGCAGGACAAGUUAAUAAUAUUAGAGAACCACUACAGAAAACUAACACUCAGUUGAUAGGAGUUGCAGAGAGAACAGAGAGACUGAAAGACAAUGAUCACAUAAAUGAUUUAAUAAAUUUUUUAGAACUAAAGGAAUGUACCUCCUUUGAAAUGACUAUGAAUGUAAACGUUAUGGAAUGAGGUAACAUUAUUUCCAAUUUAGAAUUCUUUCAGCCUCUCUUUUUCUGGGAAAAGGACCCAGAAAAGCUCUUUCUCAAGCAAAAGGGUAAACAUAAGACAUUCUGUUCAGGACUCAAAUAUUUGACUCUAGUAAACACUCUUUAAAAAAGCUAUAAAAGGAUAUUCUUCAGUAAAUGAGGUUAUUCUUGAAAGAGGAAAACGUGAAACUGAAGGAAAGAUCCAGCACAGGGAAGGAGCAAAGGGAAGUUCCAGUAUGAUGACUGGGUCAUUUCUUAACUCUUGUAAGAGAAAAAGUUGAACCAAAAACUAACUAUAAUUAUAGGAUAGUGCUUAGCUCUGGAGUAAACAAUAUUUAGGCAUAAUAAUGUGAAGAUUGAUCAUUGACCUAAGCCAAAUUUAUUACAAACCAUAUUGAGAAGACGGGGAUGGAAGGAAAGUGUUGUGGCUGAGUUAAAGGCUCAACUACAAGCAUGUCAAAAACUGAUCAAUUAAAAAAUAUCAUUAUACACGUAUCAUUUGGAAAUAUAGGGACAGAUAACAGAGGAAAUUACUCUUAAAGGUAUCCAAAUUUUUUUGGAAUUAAGGGUUUCAGAAUAAAAACAGGAAUUUCUCAUCAAAGGGCUCUCUAAUUUUACAAACACAAAUAAUCAUCUUACAUAAGCAAACACUUUGAAAGACUGAAAAAAAUGUACAUACAGUUUGUUAGAGGUAUAGAUAGAUGGAUAGUUUUAUUAAUACCAUUGUUUAGUAUUGCUUUCCAUUUUCCCUUUUUUCUUUUACUGCUUUGUUCAUGUUCUUUUUCCUUUUUCUUUCUUCUCCUGUUUUUUCUUCUUCACCUACAGCUCUUCCUCCUUUCCACACCCACAAGUCUUAAAUUAAAAAUCCCACUAAAUACUGAGCAAAAAUUGUAUUUCAGAUUUAUUUUUUUAAAACUCAUUUAUAAUUACAUCACUGUAACAUUCCAGAGCUUUAAGCAUAAAUAGAAAAUUAUGAGUUACCAAAGAGGGGGUGAUGAGGGUGGGAGGAGACCACUUUUUUGAAGGUGUGCAAACUUGAUUGGCAUCAGAUUUCCCAACAGCUGUACACACAAAAAUAAUAUGAAAGUAUCUGAGGGGAAGUAACUUUGAACUAAAAUUUCUAUCUACAUAACUCUAUUAUAUAAUGAGUAAAGAUAAAAUACAGGCGUUUCCAGGUAUUGGAGGAUCAGAAAAUUUUUUAUCUACACACACUCUCUAAAGAACUGCCAUCUUAAGACACAAAAACACAAAUCAUUAGGAGAAAGAUUGUUAACAAAUCUGACUCCAUAAAAAUCAAAAACAUGAUAAAAGUCAUGAAAAAUAAAGCUGGAAGAAUAUAUUUGGGACAUGAUUCAUGAAUACAUGUAUGAAACACUUAUAAAGUCGAUAGAGGGCAGGUCAUAUUUGAGAACACAGGGUUUGGGAACGGAUUAUACAUACCACAGGCCAUAUAUUUUAAUCUGUAGGAGCUAUGAUCAUGUUUUGGUGGUAUACUCGGUUUGUCUUGCUGAAAAUUUUAUUCUGAAUAUUUCAAAUAACACUUGGUUGCAAUCCCCUGCAAUUUGAAAUGAAUUCUUCAUUGCUGAGAUUUAAUUAUUUCAAGAAUAAGCUAAGUGUGGCCUGUGAUAACAAAUUCCUUUCCCAAAUCAUCCUUAAGUGUGGAAUUUAUCAGCAUGGAUUUUUUUUCUGUUGCAUAAAUGGGAAUGAGAUAACACUCUCUAACCAUAUCUGAGAUGCAGCUAGGACUGGGUUAACUUUAUGGAAAGAAUGUUUCUGUAUUGCUUUAUGGCUUUAAAACAGAUACACUUUAUUUUCUGAACUAAUCAUGAUCUCAUAGUGAAAAACUGAAUGCAUUUUACUAUAUUCUUCUUUUCAUUGUGUUACUAAUAGUUCAUACUAGGCUCAUACUGGGCUUCUACUGUAAGUUCAAUAGCUACUUGUCAAAUUACCCUGAUAAUGUGACAGAAAGAAGUUACUGGGCUGAGCUCUUGGCUGUUAACUUCAAGUAGAAUGACACCUUCACAGGAAAUGUGACGCUGUGGAUCUGGUCUUUAUAUUUUCUAUUGUGUCCUUGGAAUUAGGCCAGCCACCUUGCUGUAAGUCUGAAAAGGAGACUGACACCAAGGACAGAAGAGCAGAGAGAUGGAAAGAGCCUGGGUCCUUAGUCCUAUUAUUGAUCCAGCCUUCAGUCCAUGCAUUAUCUCCAUGUCCUAUUAUAUGGGAAAAUACUUUCGCAUGAGGUUAAACUAUUAGCUGCGGCUGGAAGGAUAAUCAUUGGGGAAAAUGUAAAAUAAACUGAGUUUGCAGCUAUCAAAAUGUUAAAAAUGGAAAAUCUUUUUUUUUUUCUCAUAACACCCGUGUUUUCCUCUAAGUGGUAAGAUCUGGGAAAACAAAUAAAAUAAACCUUAGAAAUAGAAAUGGUUGAAUACUCAAGUAGAAAGGAAAUAAAGACCAAUUUGUCCAGCCCGUUUAUUUAAAUAGGGAAUGUGAGGUACAGAGAAAUGUAAACCCUGCUCAGGGUUACCGAGCAAGUUUGUUGCGUUUCAAGAUUCGAUCUCAGGGCUGUGUUGGCCGCUUUGUACUGUCUCUCUACGGUGUUGCCAAAAAGAGAGGGUAUUAAAUGGGAAGAGGAGACUGAGGCCUUAACAAACAGCUACCGUUUCAGUGUGUUCAUCAAUGCCUGCUUACCUAAAACGUCACAGGGCCCUUUAAAGUCGCAUCAUUAACUUGAAGGGAUGUGUAAAAGUGAGCCAUUAUUAUUUUAUGUUUCAUUUUAUAGGAGUAUACAAUGUCAACACUUCCAGUGUUGUUUAUAAAUAAUUAAUAAUUAUAGGCACAUUAGGGAGUUGAGGAUUUUUUUAGCGAUAAAUGUGUCUGGUUUGGUUUAUAUCCUUUCUGAUUAAUGCACGACCUAUGAAACUUGUUCAUUUCAUUCUGGUUUAAUUGGGAAAUGUUAUAGUCUUAAUUUGGGGCCUACAUUUUUAUACCAUACAGUUUCUUUGCUUGUACCUCUUUGCCAACUUAAUGUUUAAUAUCAUUUGUAUUCCCACACCUCUGAAUAUUAAAAUAGAAAGGUUUUUCAGUAAUAUAAAUUAUAGCUUCCAUCAGAGGUGCUGGUGGAAUUAAUAUCCCAGAUUAAUGUGACAUUGAAAUCUAAGUGUGUUGUACAUUAGAAGGAUAAACAAAGCUGCAGGGACUCUGGUUUGCAGCCUAAAUUACAGGUUAGGGAGUUGAGACUUUGGUCUACACAUGAUCUUAGGAGAAUUUUCCUCACACACAAAUCUAUGCACCCUUUGCCUUCUGGCUGUCCAUUGGCCACUCCCACUGUGGUUCAGUCCAGAAGCACCUACUUUAUACCCAACAGGGGGCAAGAUGUGGCUAGCAUGUUGGCAGGGGUAGAAAGUAAAGGAUAGGUACCAAAGAGUAGCAGAAAUUUGACAAAGAAUAACACAGUGACUCUGCCCAUGAGGAAUGUAUAGUCUAAUGGAUAAGCCAGCUAGUCAAGUAAUUAUGACACAUUAUGAUAAGUACUAUAGUAAUGGUUUCACCAAAGUACUAUUGAAUAUAAAGGAGAGUACAGUUGCUUGAGGCUUCUCUGAGGAUGUAACAUAUAAGCUGGAUCUUUAAAUAUGAGUAGAAUUCUGUGUGUGGGUGAGAGAAGGAAGGAUGGGAGUGUUUGGGGCCAGAAAAGAUUAUUCAUAGUGGUAAUCAUGUUAAGAAAGUUAUUGGUGAAGCAUCUGUGAGAAUGUAGUUCAGGAGGUCUAGGGUAGAGAUGUGCAUGGUGAGAAAUUAAGCUGAAAAAUCUAGAUGAUAAAAGACUGAUGGAACAAUGCAAGGAAUGCUCACUUACUCUAUUCGCAGCAUGAUUUAUAGCUCAAGGCUUCUUCCUUCCUCUCCAGACGUGUUGGUCAACUCUGCUUGUUGAUCAGUUAUUAGUUGGUCUGUUCAUCCUAAUCUGCUAUGGCCAGACCAUCAUGCAUGUGCAUGCAAAUCAGUGGAACAGGUUGGCCUUUUUCACAUAGAAAGGAUCAAAGGCUACAUUUCACUGCUAGGAUACUUCAAACUGAGCCAUAUUUAAGAUUGCAUCAUGUCAAUAUAAAUAAAGUCAAUAAUAAACUUAAUAUCAGCAAGCAAACAGGAAUAAAAUAAGGUGAAAUGGACUCUACUACUGAACAAUAAGUACAUGUUUAUUGAUGUCAGGUUUCUCUUUAUUAAUAAGUUAAUAGCAUUAGGACUUUUUCUUAUCAUGCCUGUGUUUCUUUGUGUAACAAAUCCAUCUCCAAGAUUCUUUUGGAGUCUCUGCUAUCCUUGCCAAAGCUAGUCUUGCAGUAAUUGUUGCUUGAGAAGAGGAGAUUACCCAUGAGUCUAGGUCUUAGUCAUGUUAAUUAUAGAUAAGGAGCUAUCAUUUCUCCUUGUCAUUCGAAUGGAUUGGGAUAGUUGACUCAGUUUCCUUUACAAAUUAAACCUAGUGUUUAGGGAAAAGAGUCAAAGAUAGUUUGUCUAUUUUUACCAACUUCGUAAGAAGAAGAAUUUAAAGCCACUGAACACAUGUACUGACCUAUGAAAUGCUGAAAACAACACAUUGAAGGGAAAUCCAGAGUCCCUGAAAUCCAGCAAGUUUAAGUGCCCACUGCACAUACAUGUACCAUGCACCACAUGGUUUAAGGUCAGAGUACCCAUAAAGUCAUAGAAAAAGAGGCCUUGGCAUUGCAAAAUGACAUUGGAGCUCAUCUGGCCUAAGCCAGAGCUCUGUGGUCCCUCCUAGAGAGCCUUGUAGAGGAGCGGAAGGGUACAAAGCAGAGAAUCAGAAGACUUGGGUUCUGGGCUGGAGAAUUUAAUUGCUGCUAUUAAUAGAUCUUGGGCAUGUCUCUUUACCUCUAUUUGUCCUCGGUGCACAGAGCUAUGUAGGGACCGAAAUUAGAAAAUAUUUGUGGACUCUCUAUGAGUAGUGAAAAUGAAUUAUUAUUGCUAUCAUUGUCACUGCUUAUAGUGUAAAGAGCAUUAUUGCUAUGAGACUUUCUGAUCUUUUAAGUAGAAAUAGACUAUAUUUUACCUCUCUACUCUUUGUAGAGAAAAGUUUGGCAUGCCAAGUUUGAAAUAAAUGAGAUUCAAUAGCACAUUUUUAAUGUGCUAAAAUAUUUUCAAAUACUUUCCAAUGCCAUUUGCAUAUAAACAAUUUGCUAAUUACAGAUAAAUUAUUCAGUUAUUAAAAUAGGCCCUACAGGAUAUGUAUCUGGCAGUAUUUCAGUGGUUGCUUUUUCAUAUUUUACUUCAAAAUAAUUGAUUUGUAUUUCUUCAAAAGUGUUUUAUUGUAGACUUUGUAAAAACCAUUUCACUUGUCCUCACUUCAUACCCCAUUCCUCCCAAAUAUUCUGAAUCAAUACAUCUUAUUUUUUUAUUUUAUUUUUAUUUUUUGAGACGGAGUUUCGCUCUCGUUACCCAGGCUGGAAUGCAAUGGCGCAAUCUCGGCUCACCGCAACCUCCGCCUCCUGAGUUCAGGCAAUUCUCCUGCCUCAGCCUCCUGAGUAGCUGGGAUUACAGGCACGUGCCACCACGCCCAACAAAUUUUUUUUGUAUUUUUAGUAGAGGCCGGGUUUCACCAUGUUGACCAGGAUGGGCUUGAUCUCUUGACCUCGUGAUCCACCCGCCUCGGCCUCCCAAAGUGCUGGGAUUACAGGCGUGAACCACCACGCCCGGCCCAAUAAAUCUUUAAUGAAGCAAUUCAUCCAAUGCUUGAAACAACUUUUAACUCUAAAGUCUGAACUGUUGGUGCUGCCUGGGUCUCUGCCUAUGAUGAGCUACUGCAUUUAAGACACAAGGGCAAUGUUCUAAUACGACAACUAUUCAUCUUCCAAGAUGCGCAUUGGAAAAAUGUCCCAGUGAGCUAUACCUUAUCCAUUCUAAUUGCAAGCAACAAUGAUAGACACAUUGUAUAACACUGCAUAAUCCCCAAAUUUUUCAUGUACAGUCUUCAGAGUAUUGUGUUUGCAUUUAUAUUUCAUAUGAUGGUUAUCCUAUUCAAUGAACAAUUCAUUUUCAUGUUGCAAUGAAUCCUCACCCCGAGGACAUAACUCAAGGAUACGGUACAGAGAAAAGAACCUAGACUAAGUGGAUUCUAAUCCCAUGUCUACCAGUGACGAGAUCUGUAACACUGAGCAAGUUGCCUCGCCUCUCUGGACCUACUUUGCUCAUAGACCUAAGAAUCAGGUUAAAAAUUAGCAUGUCUUAGAAUUCCUUUUUCCUAUUUCUAUUUCCUGCUCAAUAUCUCCCUGUCUACUCUUGAUGAAAAUAGUGUUUUAUAUUUCUGACCAAAGUACCUUUUAUAUAUAUUUUUUAAUUUUUGUUUUAGGUGAAGGGGUACAUAUGCCUUUUUAUGCUCUCUCAAAACUUUUGGGCAGAGCAUGAGAGGUCCUGUCCCUGUAAGAGCAUCUUGGCCAGGAGAAAAGGUAAUAGGAAAAAGGAAUGGAAUUGGAAGGAAGAAGUCUCAUUUCAGAAACAAAAUAUCUCUCCCCCUCUUGUUCUAACUGUUCCUCUGGCAAUACAGACUUUCUGCUUUCAGGCUCUGUAGCAUUCUAGAACUCGAGCACCCAAUCAGGAUAGAAAAAAAUACAUUGUGUUCCUCCACUGGAGCCCAAGUUGACAGCAGGCUGUUGGAGCAAGAAGCCCAAAUUAUCUGGAAGUGGAAUAUACAGUCAGGAGAAUCAGUCCACAGCUGUCCCCGGCCUGGGUCAGGACCUCUUCAAAUCCACCGGCAUGUAGACAGCAGCAGCAGAUUGGAGAGUGUGUUGAACUUGACUCUGGGACCUGGAAUCUCUCCCAUUACAUGAAUGAAUCCAGCAACUGGAGCACUGAGCCCUCUUCCCCAGUCUAAUGGAACAGCAACAAAGAAUCUAGAGGUGCUGCUACUGCUUUUUGUUUUUUUUUUUUAGAGAAAGUCUUUCUUUGUUGCCCAGACUGGAGUGCAGUGGUGCCAUCUUGACUCACUGCAGACUCCACUUCCCAGAUUCAAGUAAUUCUCCUGCCUCAGCUUCCCGAGUAGCUGGGAUUACAGGUGUGUACCACCUCGCCAGGCUAAUUUUUUUUUAUUUUUAGUAGAAACGGGGUUUCAUCAUGUUGGCCAGGAUGGUCUUGAUCUCCUGACCUCAUGAUCCACUUUAAAAUGCUCUAUUGUCACCUCUGUGUCCUCCUACAGCCACGACUUCCUAGAUUCUCCAAUGACCCCUUUCUGUGUCUUGUGACAUGGAAGGCAGAGAGGGAAAAGUGGCUUCUUGGCUGCAUUGGGACGUUCUCGGCCAUGAAUCUUCAUUCAGGACUCAGGGAAUACAUGUUAGCCAUUGCACUUAAGGACAGCUGAUUUCCCCUCCAAUCUGAGAGGAGCUGCCUGAGCUUUUUCGUUCUGUCUCUCUCCAUACUAACUUUGAGGACGCUAGUGAUUACCUGGACUGGGAGACAGGGGUCCAUGGGAUUCAAACUGAAUUCACUAAUGAAAAAGGCAUCAAAUGUACAGCCUCGUUUUCACCUGAGGUUGCUAAGGAACAAGACUGGGAUGAGAUCCAGGCAAUAGAGUCCUUGCCCUGGAAAGGUAACUUUAAGGCUCCAAUUACCAGUGAAUUCAGAAAAAUGAUCAAACUCACCAGGUACCAAAGUGAGAAGGUGACAAUCAGUUUUGCAGAGUGUAUCACUUCUUGACAACACUGUUUCCAGAACCAUACUCCUCUUCAUGCCCUACUCCCUACAAGCAUUACUCCUGACACAGGGCUACAUGACCAGUCCCACUACCCCAUGGGCACCAGUGGCUAUGACAUCAUUGGAGCGAUGCCUCCUCUUCCCAGUCCAGUUAUUUUUAUUACAGCACCCUUUUCAGCUUCCGUUGCCACAUCUGCCUCCCCUUGACUGAGGAGUGGUGGGUUACAUUGAAUGAAACAGAACUUGAGGGGCCUAAGCCUUAUCUCAGCCUUCCCUCAAUAUGAGGUUCUGGUGGAUUGGGACUCCUCCCUGACUAGUGGGAGUUACUGUGUGGGUUCAGAAGUGCCUUGUCUGGUAUUUGCCACAUGGGUGUUGGCCACACUCUGGAAGCUGGAAUUGAUGAUCCAUGAAGGUUGAACCCACACACACCUUUGCAGCUGCCCCAGAUCAAGUAGGUUUAUUCCCCUGGUAGUCUGGACAAUGGAGACCAAUGAGAAAGUUUUAGGUUGUUUCAAAUUCCUGUUUUUAGACUUCCAAUUUAUUGCAUACCAAGAGUUGAAUACAACCCCGAUGAUUCAUUUAAGUGGAUGCCACAUUGGGUUGGACCUGGCAUCACGCAUUCUUCAAGGCUUCUGGGCAGAGACCCACAUCAAGAUCAGAAGCCUUUUGGAUGGCAUUGCAAAUCUCAUUGCCCAGUAAGGCAUGAAUAUUUUCACUUUCAUCCCACUCUCAGUUGGAUUUUCUGGCACUCUUCCUGCAUUGAGCCUCCUGAUUACUGAACAGAGCUCCGUGGCAUAGCCUGCUGAGGAAUGGAACGGAGAUGCCCAUGGGAAAGUGUGAUGUCAUCACUGGACACUGGUGUGAAAGGAGAGGCCUCCUCCCUGCCUCUCAUCCACCUCGCUCCCCUACUGGUAGCAGUGCCUGUAGUUGGAUCUACAUUCUCAGAAGCAUAGAUGGGCAAACAGUAGUUGAGUUAGGCUUUAGGACACAUCAUAGGAGAGAAUGCAGGGUCCCCGAGCUGGUUUUCUUUUUAUGCAGACAUUCUGAGAGACCAGGAAGCAGGUGAGUCCCUUUUUCUAGUUUGCCUGUAGAAGUAGGAAGACCGUUGAUGUUCCAGUCCUUUCAAGACGUUACAACAGAGCUGUGUAAUUUUACAAGGUGGAUCUUUAUAUUGCCUAACAGAUUGGGAAUCUUCACCCCACAGGGCAAAUUUCCAAGUAGCUUAUUUUAAUCUAGGCCGUUCCAACUUUCAUGUGAUAUAUUUUCUCUUUUUGUCGUUGCUGAUUUCCACGUUUCUGUCAGCAGUGUGGUUCUUGUCCUUGCUGUUCUUCACUUGUUUGGUGGCAAAGUUUAUGGAACUAGGGAACUUGGAAAAUGCUUUGAAAACAUUGUCAUAAAUGCCCUGCUGAAAUGAUGCACAGGAGAAGUGGCCAGUGGGAAGAAGGGAUCCUAAGGACCUGACACUGGUUUUGGACAACAUCUCAUAAAACUCUUGAAGUGGAUUGGGUGCCAAGCCAGUGGACAUAAUGUUUUAAUUUAAUUAUUUUUAUACGUUGAUGUGGUGAUGGUGUGGCUUCUCGAAAUGGGCAGAUAGUCAAGUUAGAAGAAAUUUUGCAUUUUUCUCCAGCUGGGAACUGGGGAAAGGGAGCAGGGGCACAUGUGAGAGAGAACACAUGUGCUGUUCUAGGCAUUGCCGUUAAGUGUCUGGGAAGGAACGGGCGAGGGUAAGUUGGUUUGCUUGGCACUGUCUUGUGCUGCUCGAGAGGACCUGGGAUGUACAAGGGAAAUGUGGUGACAGGGUGCCUAGGCCGCGGCUCCCUCACUGCUGUGCUGGGUUCCUGCAGCCUGCCUCGUUUCCCUUCACAAUGUAAAUGAAGAUGGAGGGAUUGUUUUAUGACUUUCUGCUGCUGAGAAUAAAUGUCUUGUUAAAAACAGAUGGGGCAACAGUUACUCUUAGGUGCCAUGGAUCGAUAUCAGGGUGAUCAGCUCUGGGCUAAGCUACCCACCUCACAUUUGUAGAAUUACAUAGGGCUACACUCAUUACCUUGCAAGUGUCUAUGUCAAAAGUUGUGUUUAAUUUUGAAGAAGAGAAAAAGCAAAAAAUUAGUGCUAAACUUUCACCCUUGAGCAUGUGUACUCAGUGAUACUGGUCACGCAAGCAUUUACAGUGCCAUGCUUCUUAAGCUGAUUUUUUUUUUCUCGUAGAAAUGUUGGACUGGGCACAGUGGCUCAUGCCUGUAAGCCCAGCACUUUGAGAGGCUAAGGCGGGUGGAUCACCUGAGGUCAGAAGUUUGAGACCAGCCCGGCCAACAUAGUGACACCCCCGUCUGUACUAAAAAUACAAAAAAUUAGCCAGGCCUGAUGACAUGUGCCUGUAUUCUCAGCUACUUGGGAGGCUGAGGCAGGAGACUCACUUGAACCCAGGAGGCAGAGGUUGCAGUGAGCUGAGGUCACAUUACUGCACUCCAGUCUGGGCAACAGAGUGAGACUCCAUCUCAAAAAAAAAAAAAUAAUGUUGCUCUAUUUCCUCUGUUUAUCUUCCCCAAGGUAUAGAUUUUUUUUUCUUUUAUUUAUUUGUUUAAAUGAUACUUUAAGUUCUGGGAUACCUGUGUAGAAAGUGCAGGUUUGUUACAUAGGUAUACAUGUGCCAUGGUGGUUUGCUACACAUAUCAACCCGUCAUCUACAUUAGGUAUUUCUCCUGAUGCUAUCCCUCCCCUAUCCCUCCACCCCCUGACAGGCCCUGGUGUGUGAUAUUCCCCUCCCUGUUUCCAUGUGUUCUCAUUGUUCAAUUCCCAGGUAUGAGUGAGAACAUUUUCCAAAUUCCUCUAAAAUGCCCUCUAAGAGUCAGUUUGACUGAGGAAUAUUUUUUUUCUUAUUCAUUAAUGAGUAGGCAUCUUCCAAGCACCCCCUGACAUAUAUAAAUUGAUGAAGAAUGUAAUCCAUACUUAGCAUUGAGUUUCGCAUAGCAUAUUAACACGAGCCUUUCCUAAAAGAUUUCUGUCUAACAUUAUGAUUUUCAUCUUUACUAACCGUGUCUGUAAUGGAAGCAGCUAAGUCAUGUAUGUUUGCUACUUUGGUCACCCUUGAGCAUGCACACUCAGUGAUGCUGGUCUUGCAAGCAUUUACAGUGCUAUGCUAAUUAAGCUGAUUUUUUUUCUCGUAGAAAUGUUGGCCUGGGCACAGUGGCUCAUGCCUGUAAGCCCAGCACUUUGAGAGGCUAAAGCUGGUGGACCACCUGAGGUCAGAAGUUUGAGAAGUUUUUUUUCUGGCAAAAUGGUUGUACCUUAUAGAUGAGUUCUCAGCAGUAAGCCCAUUUAAAAUUUUUUAUGCCUCAUGAUCCUGACAACACAUCAAGAGGAGCUGAUUUAGGAAAACACAGAUUGUUUGCUAAUCCCUACUGUGAGUGACUUUCUUACUAAUUAUUUUUUGACUUUGAACCUUUAAAAAAUUUCCUUUGAAGGUAAUUAUUGUGCUGAAAGAUUUUUUUGGUUAAACAAAUAUUGGCUUUAGAACCUCUCUUUAAAUCAGUUGCUUUUUUUUUUUUUUUUUUUUUUUUUGCCAAUCAGUUUGAGCUUAUGAGGUUGCUCAGGUUAGCCUUGAACUGAUGACCUCGCCUUCGCGAGCACCAUGACCUCCAGUGGGAGCCACUUUGGACCCCCCUAAAUCAGAUUCUUUUUUAAGGUGCAUGACUAAAAUAAAUUACUUAAAAUAAUGUUUUCUAUGUACUCAUUUAAAUAGAUUUUGGUAUUUACUUACAUAGAAGAUUUUUCUUAGAAUUCAGGCUUCUCAUCUAUUCCCUUAUGUUUUAGUAGAUACACACAAACCCACAGAAUGCUUUAUUUCUUUAUUUCAAGCCUUUAACAUUUUAAUAAUCAGCCUUCCUAAAAUGAUUGAAAAUUGGAUCUCUGGGUUUUAAUAAUCUCAUAAGAAGUAAGAACAAAAUAAUGGAAGUUUUAGUUUUUAUUGUUCAUAGAAUCAAAUUUAUCUGUAGAAUAAAAUGAGAAAGAAUGGUUUAAUAGAGGGGCUUUAUCAAAUUACUUUAAACAGAAACUUUAAAAGAACUUGCUUAAUUUCUAUUUCUUACAUGCUUUUUUUGAUUAGUUGAUUACAGGGAAAAUUACAAGUUUCAAACUAUACCAGUAUAUCAUUUGAAAAAUGAAUAAAUUUAGACUCACUUUUCUCUUUGUAUGCUGAAUAGAUGGCAGGAUAGCAGUCAUUUCAUGCAACAGCUACUUUUUCUUUGAGAUGGAGGCUGGCUCUGUCACCCAGGCUGAAGUUCAGUGACAUGAUCUUGGCUCACUGCAAUCUCCACCUCCUGGGUUAUUCUCCUGCCUCAGCCUCCCGAGUAGCUGGAACUACAGGUUCAUGCCACCACACCUGGCAAAGUUUUUGUAUUUUUUAGUAGAGUCGGGGUUUCACCAUAUUAUCCAGGAUGAUCUGUAUCCUCUGACUUUGUGAUCUGCCUGCCUCAGCCUCCCAAAGUGCUGGGAUUACAGAUGUGAGCCACCGAGCUUGGCUAACAACUAUUUGAGUCCUUUUUUUGGGUGAUCAGCACUGCUGGAAGAAGUAGCACAGAAGACAGAAGGCUCUUAGUGCUCAGGAAGCUGAGACAGUAGUCUUGGUGAGAUAAGAUAAGCACCUAACAAUACCUAGAGAAUGCAUGUAUAUUAGCUUUCAAAAAGCAAAGCAAGGUCAUGCACAAUGUAGGUACAAAAGUGGUUUUAGAAACUACUUCAAAAUAAUCUGGAUUGAGAAAAAGGAAAUAUGGAUUCACGUCCUCAUGGCUACAGGAGGUGUGGGAAGAAAGACCAAGCCAAGGGGAGCAGGGAAAAAAAGGAGCUUGUUGAAGAUAUAGACCUCAUUGAGCGUUUAUACUGAAGUGAGGAACAGGAAGCUUCUAGAGAUCUCCAAUGCUGGCUGGAUAGGCAUUUGAGUGGAAUCCAAUUCAAGUCAUAAUAUCAGAUACCAGCCAAGACACCUGAAAAAGUAAGACUUGUACAUUUCUGUUUAAAGAGAACAUUUUCUAUUCAACUCCAGCUGUUGUAGCUGUGAGGAAAAUGUAGAUCUGGUGUGUCCAGAUCUUCAGAUUUUUCAAGGCAUCCAGACACAGAGAUUUUAAAGAAAAUGCUCCUAAUUUUAAACAUUGACUUCUUUUUAAAAACCCCUGCAUGAGCCAAAUUAAAGAUAUCUGCUGUCCUGAUAUAGCCUAAGAAUGACCGGUUUGCAAUUCUGUACAAUCUUGAGAAUGACUGGAAGAUUAAAAAGUGAGAAUGACAUAAUAAUAACAGGGAAUGAGAGAGAGGAUCUUGGUAAUCAUGUGAGAAAUCAGCAGGAAUCAGAUCUACACAAAAGUAGACCUGUGGAAACUAGAAAUAGGAGGCCAAUUUAAAAUAUAUUUCUAAAGAAGUGACAGCACUGGCUGGGCACGAUGGCUCAAGCCUGUAAUCCCAGCACUUUGGGAGGCCGAGGCGGGUGGAUCACGAGGUCAAGAGAUCGAGACCAUCCUGGUCAACAUGGUGAAACCCCGUCUCUACUAAAAAUACAAAAAAUUAGCUGGGCAUGGUGGCGCGUGCCUGUAAUCCCAGCUACUCAGGAGGCUGAGGCAGGAGAAUUGCCUGAACCCAGGAGGCGGAGGUUGCGGUGAGCCGAGAUCCCGCCAUUGCACUCCUGCCUGGGUAACAAGAGCGAAACUCCGUCUCAAAAAAAAAAAAAAAAAAAAAAAAAAAAGUGACAGAACUUGCCAAGUUUAUUAGUUCACAUAUGAAAAUAAAAUUCAUGAAAAGAAGCCUAUCUCAAGAUCUUGGACUUCAGGCUCCAGGAUGAUGGGGACAGAAAAUGGAAAGUUGAGGACUUAGGGGACAGUGGGAACCAAUUUCCUAUAAAUGUUCCAGUUUUCACUGAGAUACUGGAGGGGAAUCCUGAAGCAAUUUGGAGAUAUUGAGCAGAAGAUAUAAAUUUUAGAAUUGAUUAGGUACUUAUCUGAUCUCUGCAUAAACAAUAUAUAUUUGUACACAUUCCUCUUCCACAUAUAGAAAGCAUUUAUCUUUCAUUUUUGAACUUGGGCAAUGUAGCAGUUUGGCUCAUUUUCCAAAUAUGUUCCAUCCUGUAUUUACAUAUGCAUAUAUUUGUCCAUUCAUACAUGCAUAGUGUUGCCAGAUUUUGCAAAUAAAAUGUAGGAAGCCCAGUUAAAUUUUGAUUUUAGAUAAACAACAAAUAACUUUUUGUAUAAAUGUGUUCCAAAUAUCGCAUGGGACAUUUUAUACUAAAAAUUAUUUAUUGUUCAUCUAAAAUCAAAAUUUAACUGGGGUUCUAUGUUUUAUUUGGCCCCUCCAUGCAUAUACACUUCCAGGUCAUCAUCCUAUUUCUCAUGGACCACAGCUAUAUUCUUCUUACUUGCCCCUUUGUUUUCAUCUUUGUCCCUCUACCUGCCAUUCUCCACCCAAUGGGCAGCGUGAUUUUUAAAAAUCUACUUAUGUCACCUCUUGCUUAAAACGUUUUAAUGGCUUCACUUUCUACUAAGAAUAAAAUUCCAACAUCUUACCAUGACUUUGAUAAUCUAGUCCAUGCUUUCUGCCCAACCUCAUUUUGAAUAUAAUUUUCUCCACUGUACUGGUUAAGUUUAGCUCCUUUACCCUUCUUUAUUUUUUUCAAACCAUUCAGUCUGGUUUGUACCCUCGGGCUUUUGCACUUGCUCUUCUCUUUGCUUGGAAUGCCGUUUCUCCAAAAUUUUGUUCAUAUGGCUCUUUGUCAUCAUUCAAGUCUUAACUCCAAUGGGACCUCCUUAGAGAGGCCUCCCAGGGUCACUCUUAUCUAAGAGGAGCUCUCAACAGCCAUACUAUCGACAUUUUGGAUUGUCUAAUUCUUUGUGGUUGGCUAUCCCGUGCAUCGUAAGAUGCUUAGCAUUCCUAGCUUCUGUGAACUAGUUGCCUUAUUAGUGACAAUUAAAAAUGUUUUCAGAUAUCACCAGAUGGCCUCAGGGAAAAAAAUCAUUCCUGGUUGAGAAUCACUGAAUCAAACAGCCCCUUCCAUUUUAUUUCUACCACAUUAUCAUAUUUACCUAACUUCACAGCACUUAUGACUAUCUGCAUUCAUUCUAUUUGCAUUUGUUACUUGCUGUUUUUGUCUCAAAAGAGUUUCACUAAUCUCGAUCUCAGCUCACUGCAACCUCCGCCUCCAGAGUUCAAGAGAUUCUCCUGUCUCAGCAACACAAGUAGCUGGGAUUACAGGCAUGUGCCACCACGCCUGGUUAAUUUUUAUAUUUUUAGUAGAGAUACAGUUUUACCAUGUUGGCCAGGGCUGGUCUCGGACUCCUGACCUCAGGUCAUCUGACCACCUCAGACUCCCAAAGUGCUGGGAUUACAGGUGUGAGCCUCGUGCCUGGCCUCAACAUCUCUUUUUCAUCCUCACUAGAAGCAAAACUUAGUAUGUGCAAGAUUUGGUCUGUUUUAUUCACCAGUCUGUCCCAAUUUUCUAGGACCAUGCCUGGCACAUAGAGGUGCUCAAUAAACAUUUGUUGAAUACAUGCCAAUAACCUAAUAUGUCCCGAGUACUGAUAGGCUUAGGUGGCAUAACAAUGAAUGAGACAUUAUCCCUAGUCUCUUGUCUUUGGUAUCUUACACAGAAGAAUAGCCUUGAGCUCCUAGAGAAAUGCAAUAAAAACUGCAGGCUCUGCCGGCUACUGGUAACUUUUAUAAGGUCCAGGGAAGCUAACCAUGUUACAGUGCAUGGGUCAGUCCCAUACAACAAAGAAUUUUCCUACUCCAAUAAAAACACUGUCCCUGAGAGAAACACUGGUAGAGCCGUCGAGGGUUCUCUUGAAGAGUUGGGAAUGGCGUCACUGGGCACAAACCACAUGGAGGAGAGUAUGGGAAGAGAAUUUCACAAAUGAAGUUUAGGGUACUCUUAGCAGAGAACAGUGAAAUACUUGGAAGAAACAAUGUAUGUCUUUUACAAUGGGAAAACCAUAUCAAUGGAAAGUGACCGAGGACUUUCUUUGAAUAUGGAGGUUAAAUAAUUGCAUGAAAAAUAUUUAUUUAGAUCAUAUUUGUUGUACUGUAUUACUAACUAAUGUGAUUCAAUAUAAUCAUUGCUAUUAAUGAUAAUAUAAAUUUCAGGACUGUAUUUGGCACUAUUAUAGAGAACUUUUUUCUUUCUUUUAUAGGGUAUAGUUACAUUUUAAUGUGAACUUUAAAAAAGCUAAGUCUGUCAUAUCUGCUAAGAAGUUAGUUCACAAAUUAUAAAUAUGCAAUCAAUACAUUUUUAAAAUUUAAUUUUUAA